UAAAUAUUAUUCCAAUUCUUGCUUAGAAUAUGAUAACAUCCAUAAAUAUAGAAAGAUUGUUAGAAUUAAUUUAACUGACACACUCUGGGCCUACAGUCAUGUAAGAAAACUAUCAAACACAUUCUUAAUUUUUAAUGAAUAAAUUUGGUCCCAAAAUUUAAAUAUGCAAGUUAAAGGAAUCAAAUAGAAAAUUACAAUGUGAAUCACAUAAACAAUUUGGAAUGCACUAUAUAUCAACUGACAUUUAUUUAUAUGAAAUAGGACGAGACCGACAUUUAUCUAUGAACUAGGAUGAGAAAAAAUGGCUUUGUUCCUCUUAUUUCUCUAAGGGCAUGUUUGGUUUGUUGUAAAACCGCACUAAAAUUUUUUUUCCUCUGAAAUUUAUUUUUCAUAUUUUUACAUAAAACCAAACACCCCCCUAAGCUAGAGAUUCAUGAAUUAGAUACAUAGAUGUAGAUCGUCCAAUGAGAACAAGUACUUUAUGACCAUUUGAAUGAUUUUGUUUCUAGAUUAUGUUCUAACGAGUUAAAUGCCAUCCUUGCGAGCAUUAGCUAGGAAUCAUUUACUAGAAGAUCUUUAUAGUAUCCCAGUGCUUUUACAGCAAGAUGAAUAUGGAAUCUUUGAAAUGCCAACAUUUAACAUGUUUUUUUGUUUUUUAAUUUGCAUCGAUUGAGUUUCUGAAGAAGUGUUAUUUGUGAAGUUGUGACAAACUUUUAAUAUUUUUUUUUUUUUUUUGAGAGAUAGGUAGCACGCUACCCGCUUCGUUUAUUUUAUUUAGAAAUAAACUUAGCUGAAAAUGUGAAUCAACUAGGAUUUGAACUUUUAAUAAUAUUAUUAACAUCGUCCUCCUGAAGCGAAAGGUAAUUAUACCAUGAAGUUUUGUUACCAUUGGAUUACAAGUCUAGCUACUAUAGUUUUCUCCUUAAACUAAAUUUUUUCUUGAAUUAAGGGCUAAUUUGGUCGAGCUUUUUUUUUUUUUUUCAAUAGUCUGUUUGACAAAGAGAAAAGUCUACAACUUUUGUUGAGACGAGGCUUCAAAUAUGAUUUUGAGCUCGAAAUGCAGAAGCUCUAAUUUAUAACACUUCUCUAGAUACAAAUUAUCGGGAAGAAAUUGCUGUCUGAAAGUACUACUAAUUAGGUUGUGAAAAAAAAAGAGCUAACAUUUUAUGAUAGUAUAUAUACUUCUUAUAAUAAUACUAAUAAAUUAAUAUUUUACUAAAUGUCGGUACUCUUCUUCCCUGUAAAAAGAAAAAAGGAUAGUUGCAAGAAAAUCAUUUACUCGGACAAUUAUAUUAGCAAAGCAAGAUAUAUUGGAUUAAUAGAGCUGAUCACAUCUGGUUGGUGAGUAAUCUCCUCUGUCUAGCUACUAUCAAUUUUAAAGAAUAAAUGAGACUAGAAUCUGAACCGAAGUAAUUCAUACUUUAAGACUUUAAAUUUUAGGCUUAUAAUUAAGUAACUUUCUAUAUAUUUUACAACUAUAUUUAUAAUCUUUGGAUGAAAAAUUAUAGGGUUGGAAUGAUAGUAGUCUUCUAUAAGAGUUUAGUGGUGAUCCCUCAGGAUUUAGUAGGUGAUUGGUAAAAUAGUAUAAUCUAAGAAGUGGAAUUUAUCAAUAUAUAGAUCUAAUGGUGAAAAUUUUGAUAGCAUCAAGUGUUUAGUACUAUUAAUAGUAUUCCAGUGGAACUAUAUAUAUACAUAUAGAAUUAGGCUACUAAACAAUUGAUAAUAUCAGAGCUCCGAUAUUAUAGUCUUAUUUUUUAUCUUAGGGUGUUCAAAUCAAUGAUUCACAUCAUUAAAAAUGAUUUAGAAUAUAUAAAAUUUUUAGAGAUAAAAUUUUAAGUAUUUUCGACACCGUUUACUUAGUAAGUAAAUCAUGUCAAAAUGAAUGACAAAAAUUAAACAAUCCUUAAAAUUUGAGGAUAGAACUUUUGAAUUUAAGAUCAAGAAUGUUGACCUUGAUAUAAAUAGUUUAAAAGUAUUCUCUAUCAAAAUUUGAAUAAAUUUAGAUUUUUUCUACACCGUUAAACUACAAACUCGUUAUAGUAACCAUUGAAAAUUGACAAUUUUGAAAUGGUUUGAUUAUAAAGUAAACUAUGUCGAAAAAAUAUAAAAUUUUAUUUUUAAGAACUUCAAAUAUUCUAAAUCAGUUUUAACGGUGUUGAUUAUUGAUUUGAACAUUUUAAGAUAAAAAUAACUCUAUAGUACUAGAGCUCUCGUACUAUAGAUAAUAUAGGAGCCUAACACACUCUCUCUCUAUAUACAUAAGUCCGACUGUGGUGUUUUUAAAAGUACAAAGUAUUUGGUACUUAUAAAUUUUUCACUGUUAGAUCAUUAAUCUCUUUGAUUAUUUUCACCCGUUAGAUUAUACUAUUGAACCGACUACCUACUCAACUCUUGUGGACUAUAAUUAUCCUAACGGCAUAUUCCUUAAUCCAAAAGCCGCCUACAAGUACCAAUGACUGAGUAUUUUUAAAAAUGAAACCGAGCUAGCUAUGGUCCAAAAGUGAUACAUGAAGAAAAAGUGAUACAUGAAGAAAAAAGACAGGGGCUAAUAAUAACUUAAUUAGAAAGAAAGAAAAGAGAAACAAAGAUAUAUUUGAUGAAGGAAAACAGUGAGAGUGAGAGAUGCCAAAGCUGCCGAGACUUUGGAACCCUCACACACAUCCAAUCUAAUUUAUGAGAACCUCCCCACCCCCCCCCGCCCCCUCUCUCUCUCUCUCUCUCUCUCUCUCUCUCUCCACCUUAUUUCCCUUCCCCCUUAAAAAAAGGGUGACAGUAGAGAGAGAAAGUGUGAGAGAGAGAGAGAGUGAGUGAGUGAGGGGAAUUCGGAUCCAAAUCCGAAGGGUGUGGGCUAAAAGGAAUCCCCGCACGAGCCCUACUCUCUCUCUCUCUCUCUCUCUCUCUCUCUCUCUUGAUUCUUCUUUGAUGUUCUUAUAUUACUUGCAAUUUAUAUCACGGAAUAUAUAUAUANGACCGUUUGGGCCUUUCUCUCUCUAACCCAUCUCUCUAUGUGUCUCUGUGUGGAGUGUCAUUUUCUCUCUUACACACACACACUCUCUCUCUCCACCACAAGUCCACAACUAGUCCUCUCUCUCUGCCCAUAUUCUCUACCUUCUCUUUCACUCCUUUGAACUAAUUAUUAACCAAAACAAUUAAUCCAAGAUCUCUCCUUCCUUUUCCCUCUCUUUUACUUCUUCUCGAUUCACAUCUAUCUCUCUCUCUCUCUUUUUGUUUCCUCCAGGUUUGUAUAAAUGGGGACUAGAGAGUGAUUUUAAGAUCUUGAGGGAAGCGGCAUCAUAACAUAUAUAACCCCAUCCUUAAUCUCCCAUGAUCUCUUCCACGGAUCAUCAACAAGUGAGUAGUAGUAUGAGACCCAUCGAAGAGAAGAUGCGGAAAAGAAAAUCGGGUUUUGGAAGCAUAGUAGAGAAGUGAGAGGAAAGGAAAUAAUAUCGUGACACGGCGUCACAAAUUAAUCUAGCCUGACUAGAUUAUGGAAGCCGCCUCGGCGCCGUCGCCCGACCUCUCCCUCCACAUAAGCCCUCCCAACAGCGCAGCUGCUCCGCCUUCCAACGACAAGCCGGCCCGCAACGGUGGCGGAGGCUCCCGCGCUUACACCGAGCUCUCCCUCUCCCCCCCGCCACCGCCGCCGCCGCUGCCAACGCCGCCGACGACGACGACGACGACGCCGCGGGGCCUUUCAUUUGGGGCGGCGCCGCCGAUGCAGCCCCUUCAUCACCGAGCGAUGCACGACAUAAUUGGGUGCUCGUCGGUCGAUUCCACUCCGAUUAGAGGGAUCCCGAUCUACAGCAACUCCCCCCUACCCUUCCUCCCCGCAGACCCCAAAAACAUGGGGUUCCUCCACCAAGUUUGGUCUUCGUCCUCCCCCUCCUCGUCCUCGUCCAUGGCGUUGCCGCCGCUCUCGGACCCUUCUGGGCCCUUCUUGCACCCGGUGGGCAGGGCUUUUACCGCGCCGACGACGGCGAGGUUUAACGGGCUCUUAUCGGAUUCUUUUAGAGCGCACAACCACCACCACCACCACCACUACAACCACAACCUUCCCCACCACCACCACCAACACCAACACCAUCAGUACGGUAUCGGGUCGUUCGACGCGGCGCAGAAUAUGAUGAGGUCCAGGUUCAUGGCCAAGCUCCCCGGCAAGCGGAGUAUGCGUGCGCCGCGAAUGCGGUGGACAAGUACGCUCCACGCUCGAUUCGUCCAUGCGGUCGAGCUACUCGGCGGCCAUGAGAGUAUGCUCAGCCCCCUCUUCUAUAACUUUCUUCUUGUCUUUUUAACCCAUGAAUCUAUUUUGAGUAACAAGAUCGUUUUUUUUUUUUUUAUAUUAUUAUUAUUAUUAUUAACGUUUUUUUAAUGUGUAGCUUAUAUAAUUGGGCUUUUGGGUUUUGAUUUUUGUUUUUUUUCCUUGGGGGCGUCAGGGGCCACUCCAAAAUCUGUUCUUGAGCUCAUGGAUGUGAAGGAUCUCACUCUAGCCCAUGUCAAGAGCCAUUUACAGGUAAUUUAUUAUACUAUUUUAAAAGUUAAAACCUUCUCUUCUUCUAUUUUACUCUUCUUUUUGAAUAGCUUAUUUCUUGGAAGAAAAGGAAAUGAAUGAAUGAAUGAGUGAAUGAAUGAGUGAGUAGAUGGGUUUGCUUCCCCAAGACACACAGGAGAGUGCCAUUUUUAGAUUAGAUGAGAGAGAGAGAGAGAGAGAGAGAGAGAGAGAGAGAGAGAGAGAGAGAAUAUAGAGAGAGAGAGAGAGAGAAAAGUAGCCAUCAUUUCGCAAUAAUACAACUAUAACAAGCCACACCCAAAGCAUCAACCUCGUGGGUAACGGGGAAAGCAAGAAGCUCCCUCAAAAACAGAAAAGAAAGAAACAGAAAUUAAGAAUACAUUGGAUCACAGAGAGAGAGAGAGAGAGAGAGAGAGAGAGAGAGAGAGGGUUUUCCUCCAUUUCUUUUUCCCAUUAUUCUUUUUUUUUUUUUUCUCCCUUUCUUUUCUAGGAAGCUCAGUUCACUCACUCCACCUCUUCUUCUCUUUUCUUCUCCUUUUUUCUCUCUCCCUUACCCCUCCCCCUCUCUCUCUCUCUCUUAAUGUAUUUGGUAAUAUUUUCCGCUUUGCCACUGCAGAUGUAUAGAACUGUGAAGACCACUGACAGGUCUGCAGCAUCCUCAGGUAAUUCGUAUUGCUUAGCCUUCUGUGCUCUCCUCAUUAACUCCUCCUCCCUUCUUCUUUACUCACUGCCCUAAAACCCAAUCGUAUAUUCGUAUAGCACACCUUUACUAAUCAUAAUUAAUCAACUCCACCCCCCCCAUUAAUUUCCACAAUCAUCAACCCUCAGCGUACUCAUAUUUGUUUCCUUUGAUAUCCUGAUCAUGAAGGCCAAUCCGAUGGAUCCGGAGAAGAUGAUCUCGCUUCUUCGACUGGCGCCGAUCUCAGCUUCCGGCGGUUCAUCGAGCAGACUAGAGCGUCGGACGGAGGGAAUGCAGCUAGUGAUAUGGACUACUCGUCAGCCAGUACUAACCCUUCCACCAAGUGGAGCAACUCCUCCAGGUAAUCCCUUGGCAUAGAGAUGUUCUUCUUUAUACUUUUGCAUGGGAUUAGGCUUUUGGAUAUGAUAUAUAUAUAUAUAUAUAUACAUUCAGAAGCAUACAACAUGUAUAGUCCAAGGUUGAAGUAUAAAAGGGAUCCCAUGUCAGCUUUUGCUUUUAGCUACCUCUAUCUAGAUAUCAAAAGGAAGAUAUAUAUUGUUCCCAGCUUAGAAACAAAGCCAAAGCCAAAUCCUAAAGAAGAGUAAAGAAAAGAAGAGAGGAGAGAGCUUGUUAGGUUAAAAAGCAUGUGAAAGAACAUUCAACUUUAUUGUAUAAUAAUAUCCACAUAAAGUUAUUAUUGCUUAGAUGGUUAUUGGAAUGCAUUAAGGGCCCCCUCUCCUCAUAGACUAACCUUAGGAGCUAAAUGUUUUGCCACGUAAGACCAAGAAAGUCCACCACUCCCCUUGACUUGGGCAUCUUUUCUCUCAUUCUUUCAUCACAUUACAAUAAUAAUAAUAAAAUAUUUAAAAAUAUUGAGGGAAUGGUGUGUGGUAUUUGGCCUCUGCCUUGUCCUUUUCCUGCUUGGGUUGAUUAUUUUAUCUUCUCUUUUAAUGCAUGGCUCUGAUUCCAGGAAUGUGUUUUGACCUGACGUGCCCUAAUGCCUAGAUAUGUUUUUGUCUCUAUUCUUUGCUCUCCUUUUUCUCCUUUGCUUUUAUUUGUUUGAGCCAGUAUUAGUAUCAUUCCUAGGCUUCACUUUUUCUCUUUUUUUGCUUUCCUUUUCUUUCCUUCUCUCAUACCAAUAUCUCCUAGUAGUACUAAACCUUGGAGAGGCCAUGUAUUUAGAAAACCUCUAAUUAACUAAUCUAAAACUUUUUAAAAGUAAAGAGUAUUGGAUAGGUGCUUUGCUUAGCAAUUUGAAGUUUUCAUAGUAGUACAACAUUAUCCUCUAUUAAUGUUUUAAGCUCCAUUACACUAGUAAUAUGAGGUUCCCGUCCUAUAAAGUUUCACAAUUAUUCUUAUAAUUUGGUGCUUCAGUAUUUCAUCAAGUUAUUAGAUUUCUGUGACUUGCGCAUGUUGCUCUUAAAUACAUUGAUAGAAAUAUGCAAAUGAUAUUCAUUAGCUUGUCGAAUCUGUCAAUGACAAUCUAACUUCUUCAAGUAAAAGUCGACAAUCAAGCACUUUAAUAUUUAAGAGGCUGGAAAGAUACUUAACAACCUUCAACAACUGUGCUAGCUCCAUUACUCUAGCUUAUUAUGGCAUAUGGGAAGUUCAAAGAUGCUUGGGUUGCCACAACAGUUUAGUUAGGCUUCGUUUGGGAUUGCGGAGAGAUUGCAUUACGUGCGGUGAGAAACGACGAUGGAAAAAUACCUUUCCGUACAUAAUAUUGUAUUCCGCAUAUUAUGGUUAGUCGGUUACGAUAUAUUUUUUGCUGUCUCAUCGGAGAACGUAGAAGCAUAUAUAUCCCUAUAUGCUUUUUCUUAACUCCAUUCUAUCUAAUAGCGUUAGAUUGACCUCAAUACCAAAUUAAGCCAUAGUAUUCUCUACCUGAUUAAUUGCACGAAAUGCAAGAUUGCAAAACCAGUUGUAAGGUAAUAAUUGAUAAAACCCCUUUCUGUUGUUUCUCUACAAAAUGGUGAAUUGUGAGAAAUUUAAAAAAAGGGGGUUUAAUGGCCUAAUCUUAUAUAGCUUAUGAUCUGAACUUUAAUAUAUGGAAACAUAGAUGCCAAUUAAACAAGGGGUUAAAACAAUUUACAAUCUGGCCUUUCCAUCUAAAGUUAAGAGAAAGUCCAUAGUCGAAGCACGACCAAAUAGAAGGAAAAAGGUAGAGAAGAUAAACACAGUUGACGAAGAAAUAUUCUUUUGAAGUCUAGUUAGAUAAAUACGGAUUUGCUCGAUGAACUGGCAUUUGAGAAGCUUAAUUAAUUCUAUCUAUUUCCUUUCAGGGGGAUCUGGAUUCUGGAUAGGUAACACCUAUAAAUACUUCUCCAAUUAAUCAUUACAUUAACUUCCAAUUUGGUAUGAUGAUCGAACAGCUUCAUGAUGAAACCAAAUACUGUGAGAAUGAUAGAAACUCCAUGCGUUGCAAUGCUAUAUAGAAAAACUCUAUAUAUUGUUUCCCUUGAGAACGCUUGGUCUCAUUAGUUUGUGACCUGGUUAGCGCCGAAAACAUGUAGAUUUAUGAAAAGGCUAAAAGUAAUUAAGAACGGAGACCUCUCAUUAGAUUUAGAGACAGAAUAUACUUCAUGAGGACUUAGUUUUAAACUAAUGACAUAGACUCUAGCAACCAGCCAUAAAUUUACUUGCUUGCUAUGUAUAUAGUCCUCUUUUCUAUUUUUUGCAUCGUAUUUUAUCAUUACAUCCUAUAAUUUACACUUAAGCAACAGUAUUUUGGAAGGAAUGAAUGGCCUUGUGAAACAAUGAGUUAUUGCAUUUUGCAUUACAGUAAAAUAAGAGGCUUUGCUUUACUCUUUUUCCAUCAUGGAAAAUGAAUAUCUUUUUUUACUGAUCUUGGAAGUUAUCUUUUUAAUGAAUAGCUAGCUUUUGGAUAUUAUUGAAGUGUAACUAACAAAUUUGUUGAAUUGAUCUUCCGCCAGAGAUCCAGGGCUCCAAACAAAUCCAUGCGACAUGGAUGGGCUCAGACCGGUGAGAUUCUUAUCUCAGAUUGAGGUACUAAAUUACAUUUCCUCCCUUUUAAUACAAAAGAAAAGAGUUUUUCUUUUUUUCUUUUAAGAUAUGAAUGAUUCGUGGAAUGCUAAUGUGUGAGCCCAAUAUCUUUUUCAUGUAUCAGAACGCCGAAGCUUGCCGAUCUAAUGGUUCGCAAGUAACUAAUAAUGAGCUCAAAAGCCCUAGCUUGGAGUUCACCUUAGGAAGGCCCGACUGGCACAGCGCCGAACAUGACUGAUGCUACUAAAGAUCUACAUGAUAUGUGCUCAUGCUUUCUUUCACCGGCUUGUCGGACAUAACACCGAUGUGUUAUCGAGUAAAGAAGACAGAAAGGAGAAGAUCCAUGUCCAUGAAUAAGAAGGGGAUGUAUAUAUAGCGGAACAACGAAUACUUUGUUGUACUCAUGAGCAUCCUCUUCUUUUGCUUUUCUUCUUUCUCUGGCUCAAACUACAGUUUUGGGGAGCGGCGUGGCUAAAGCUGAAAAGAGUCAUUGGGGGUACAUUGUUUGCACAUGGAGAGCAAGGGGGGAAAAGGUUAAGAAGAAAUUACUGCAAUAUCAUUCUUCCCUGAUUUGAUCUUCUUCCUUCUUUUUUCUUUUUUCUUUUUUCUUUUUUCUUUUUUCUUUUUUCUUCGUCCCUCUCUCUCAUCAAUAUAUAUAAAGUAGAAGUAUUGGCCUAAAGAUAUAAUUAACAUGUUAGGAAAAGUAAGGUGCGCUCUAUCACAACCCAAGCAAGAACCUACUUUAGUUCAAAAGGCUACUAAAGUCGUAGCUUUUGGCCAGAUACAUAUAUGAACACUAUUUCUUUUGAUUAUUACGUCACAGAGAAAUACUAUUUGUACAUCCAAAAGUUGGGCGCCAUAUUUAAUUUAUACCCUUCCAUCCAAGGGAUUAGACAAUCUUUUAGAAUUUUUAUAUUAAAAACAAGGACAAGACUGCUGUGGAGAAAUGUGCCCUUGAAUGAAAAGGGUGUAAGAUUUGCUCUUACGUUUUUGGUGUACAAGUAGCAUUUUAGUGGGUCGUAUCCAAUGACCAUCUUUUCCUCGCUAAUCUUAUCACUUUGGUUUUUUAACUAAAAACCAAAAUAGGAUUAUCAAGAGGUGGUAGGGGUACAAACCCUUGUGGUUGUAAACUUAGCAUUUCUCGGAACUGAGAAUAUCACUGUGAGUACAUAAUAAUAAAUCUUUCACUUUCAUGCAUGUCUGCAAGAGAAAAUAUCAUUGUGAGCAUGUAAUAAUCUCUCACUUUCAUGUCUGCGUAUGACAUUUUGCCCUAGAAUCUUAUACUCUCCUCUCAUACACCCAAUUCACAACGUGUACACCUACGCUCUUUGACGUACAAUCCACCACCAUGUGAUAGAAUCGUGCACACAACCGUACAGUUCUUACGCUGCAGUCACUUGAGCCUGUUUUGGUUGGUUUUUAGUUUUCUUUAGAAAAAAAAAAGAAGAAGAUAUAGUAACAAACAUAACAUAACAUUUGUUUAUUACAAAAACAAAUAAAAGAUAAAGUGCAAAGUAUGUUAUGAAGCACCUCCUAAUCUUGUGCAUGGAAACUCGGAAUACAAUCUCCCGCCCUGAUGGUUUCCAUCACAACCUUUAAUUUCUAGUACCUUCUACCAGCUUCAGAAACAAAAAAAGAAAAAGAAUUAUGGUAUCGGUACACAUUCCAACAGUGAAUACAACAAAAGUGGUACAAUUUAUUAUAUAUAAAGUGCAAAUUUUAAAGCACUAAUUAAUUAUUGCUGAUUGGACCGUCAUUUUGGUCCAUCACUAUGAAAACUUCUCUGCGUGCACGGGUCAUAUACGACCAAAAGUAAAUGUGACCUGACGAAAAAUGCGUAACCAUACGUGGUGUAGGAAAACAAACGUAGUAGCUGGUAAAGAGGGACCAAACAUCAGGGCAGUAGAAAUUCAAAGAAUGGGGUGGGGAGGGGGGUGAGGGGUGCAUUUAAAUGGAGACAGAUGCCAACAGGGUAUUUCUUCUCUUUCUCUUUGUCAGAUGAAAACUGACCAGAGGACAGCGGGCGCAAGAGAGAGAGAUAGAGAUAGAGAUAGAGAUAGAGAGAGAGAGAGAGGAGAGAGAGAGAAUUGGGGCUGACAUUAAUGCGGGAAAGAGAAAGUGAGUGUGGAGUGACAUGAUUUUGUAAUCCAUUGCUUUAUGAUUGAGUUGUUUGUUCCUGCUUUUCUUUUUCUCUGACAAAAAGAGAUAUAGCAUCAUAGCCUUAUGAUGGCACAACCCCUCAAAUUUUUCAAUAAAUAAAAUUCAUAUAUAUAUAUAUAUAUAUAUAUAUAUAUCAUACACAGUUUUUUCUGUUCUUUUCUUUUCUUUUCUUUUUUUUGGGGGUACCUUGAUAAAGGACAAUUGCUUGUUAGGUAUCUUAGCAACAAAAUACCCUGUUGUUGUACGGAAGAUAUUAUCGAACGCAUCAUACAUCAGUGCACUACUCAUCCAUUAUCCCUCUUAAUAUCAUAUUUUGGGAUUUAACCAUCUUUUUUUUUUCUUUUUUCCUUUUUUUUUUUUACCGACCGUCCUUAGAGCAAGUGGCAAAGGAUUUGGUGGUUGGUACCUGAGACCCAAAUUCGAAUUCUAGUUGAUUCACAUUUCUAGCUAAGUUUAUUUCUAAAUUAAAUAAAAGAAGCAGGUAGCGUGCUACCUAUCUCUCAAAAAAAAAAAAAAACCAUCCAAUUUUUUAACAAAGUAAACACUAUUACUCAUUAGAGGGUAGAGAUUUCUUUUUCUUUUUCUUUUUCUUUUUUUUUUUUGAGGGAUAGGUAGCACGCUAUUCACUUUGUUUAUUUCAUUUCGAAAUAAACUUAGCGGGAAAUGUGAACCAACUAGGAUUCGAACUUAGGGCCUCGGAUACCAACCACCAGGGACGAAGCUAUGUGGAGGCCCAAGGUGGCCAUGGCCCCCCUCAACUUUUCAAUAUUUGCUUAAAGGUCCUUUAAAGUUUUUUUUUUUGUGUACUAUGGAUAGAUAUGGCCCCGUAAUUUUUCAAUAUUUACUUAAUAGUAUGGUGCCAACAUAAAUCUCUCUCUCUUUCUCCUAAUCGAUAUACUCUUUUUAUGAGUAAAAAUAUAUUAAAAUCUUCUUGCUUACAGAGUCUUUUGUAAUAUAUUUCUCUACUCUAAAUAUUUAAUUAAUAAUUUUUAAAUAAAAAUUUUUAAAUUAGAAACAAUUUUGUUUAUUAUUAAUUACUAAAGUUUUUAUUUAAAUAUAUUUUGGCCCCCCUCAAAAUUAAAUCCUAACUUCGUCCCUCCCAACCACCAAGCCCUUGAUCACUAGGUGGAGGCAAUAAUCUAUUCUCAUAUGUAGAUUCUGUAUUGUUGACUAGUCUAAUUCUCAACUAAUGUCGCACUUUUUUUAAUAAAAUGUUAGGAACCCAACUACCUUAAUUCGUGAAAACAAUGAACAAGCCUCAGACCUACCCGGGAGAGCAUAAUAUAUUUAGCCUGACAUUAUUAUGAUAUAUAUUCAAUGGAAAAAAAAGGCACACUUUUAAUAGCCCCGUAAUGAAAACAUUCAGGAGGUGGCCAAUAUAUUAAGCACGCUAGUGAUAAUAAUUUACUCUUUACCAAUUUUAUCAUUCGCUGUUAAGAUACGUUGUGUUCAAGUUAAAUGUUGUUUCAUAUGAUAUCAAAUCUACUUUCAUAGGUAUCAUUCUCAGGGAAAAUGCCUGUACCAAAAGAAAGGUGAAAGAGAAAAAGUCCUUUUAAGUUCUAACCCGAACAAUCCCGGCGCAGAAACAAAAAAAAAACAUCAAGCAUAUAGCAACAAGAGUAUGAAGAAUCUAUUUUGCUUGAAACAGAAAAUACAUGAGGAGAUUCGUUGAGUUUAUAGGAAAACUUGUAGGAAAACCUUAGAUUAGGGCUGCUGUGCAAUCCUGAAGUGCUAUUGAACCCUAAGAGCCCUCCUGUGAGUAAAUUACAAUGAAUCUGACUAAAAACCCUAAAGCUAGAGGAGAGUUCUCAUAAAGUGGAAGGCAAGGGGAAUGUUUUGCCGAUGAAUUGCGGUCAAGCAACUGGAGAGUGUUUUUAAUUUUUUUUUUUUAGAAAGAGAUAACAAGUUAUCUGCUUCAUUUAUUAGGCAAAAUGAACUAAACAUACAAGAUGAAAGCAGCGAAGGCUUCCGGAAAAAAAACGAGACAUAAGUAAAAGAAAAGAAGAGGGAGGGGAAAUGUAAAAAAGUAGAAGUGAAAGAAAAGAAAAUUUAAAAAAAGAAAAAUAAAGGNUCCUGCCAGCCAUUUUUUUUUUUUUUUUCCUUUUUUCUUUUUUUUUUUCUACCAAUUUAAGGUUUUAUACUAGAAUUCUCCCUAUUACCUACUCAUCACGUGACUACAUACUACGCAAGCUAUUAUAGAAGGCAUGUUGUUGUCCCAUAAAACAACGAUUCUAUGGAUUGUUCGUUAACAGGAAAUAGUUUCAUGGGGGACUUUUUUUCUUUUCUUUUCUUUUCUUGUCUUUUUUGACACAUACUAUAUAUAUAUAUAUAUAUAUAUAUAUAUAUAUAUAUAUAUAUAUAUAUACUUAAAAUAAAUAACUUUUUAAACUCCCCAACACGGUAGUAUUCCGAUACUACGGUAUAGAGAAAAACAGUCUCUUUUUCUUUUCGUCCUUGUUUGUUGAGUUAGUAUUUCGUUACCUAAUGUUUUAGUACAGUGAGGUGUGAGUGAAAGAGAAAGGGCGUAAUUACAGUCGGGGUUAAGAGAGAGAGAGGAGAGAGAGAGAGAGAGAGAGAGAGAGAGAUAGAGAUAGAGAUAGAGAGAGAGAACGCGGGCGACAGGAGACCAGUCAAAAGUAGACUGUUUCUCUUUCUCUUCUUUAUGGGACAACCGUAGACAGAGGUAAAUUUACGUGGGGAGUGGGGGGAGGUAGAGCAAGUGGCAAAAAAUUUGGUGGUUGGUACCUGAGACCCAAAUUCGAAUUCUAAUUGAUUCACAUUUCUAGCUAAGUUUAUUUCUAAAUUAAAUAAACAAAACGAGUAGCGUGCUACCUAUCUCUCUCAAAAAAAAAAAAAACCAUCCAAUUUUUUAACAAAGUAAACACUAUUACUCAUUAGAGGGUAGAGAUUUUUUUUUCUUUUUCUUUUUCUUUUUUUUUUGAGAGAUAGGUAGCACACUAUCCACUUUGUUUAUUUCAUUUCGAAAUAAACUUAGCUGGAAAUGUAAACCAACUAGGAUUCGAACUUAGGGCCUCGGAUACCAACCACGAGGGACGAAGCUAUGUGGAGGCCCAAGGUGGCCAUGGCCCCCCUCAACUUUUCAAUAUUUGCUUAAAGGUCCUUCAAAGUUUUUUUUUUUGGUGGACUAUGGAUAGAUAUGGCCCCCUAGUUUUUCAAUAUUUACUUAAUAGUAUGGUGCCAACAUAAAUCUCUUUCUCUUUCUCCUAAUCGAUAUACUCUUUUUAUGAGUAAAAAUAUAUUAAAAUCUUCUUGCUUAUAGAGUCUUUUGUAAUAUAUUUCUCUACUCUAAAAAUUUUAUUUAAUAAUUUUUUAAAACUUUUAUUUAUUUUAGGUGAGCUCUUUUAUUUGACUAAACCAAAAAUUGUACUAAAUUUAAUAGCUAUGUUAAUUUUAUUUACUAAAAAACUGAAAAAUUACUCUUAAAUUUAGUAAAAUUUCUAAGUUAUUUUAAUGUAAUAAUAUAAAUAAAAUAAUUAAAAGUUAAGCAUCUGAAAAAAAAAAUUAAAGUUCAUACUUUUACAUUAUUUAUUUAAUUAAUAAUUUUUUAAUAAAAAUUUUUUAAUUAGAAAAAAUUUUGUUUAUUAUUAAUUACUAAAGUUUUUAUUUAAAUAUAUUUUGCGCCCCCCCCCCUCAAAAUUAAAUCCUAACUUCGUCCCUACCAACCACCAAGCCCUUGGUCAUUUAUUCUAGGAACGGUCGGUAGGGUAGAAAUUUCAAUGAAGGAAUUGGGGGGGAUAGGUAUUUGAUGUAUAUAUUCACUAGGUGGAGGUAAUAAUCUAUUCUCAUAUGUAGAUUCUGUAUUGUUGACUAGUCUAAUUCUCAACUAAUGUCGCACUUUUUUUAAUAAAAUGUUAGGAACCCAACUACCUUAAUUCGUGAAAACAAUGAACAAGCCUCAGACCUACCCGGGAGAGCAUAAUAUAUUUAGCCUGACAUUAUUAUGAUAUAUAUUCAAUGGAAAAAAAAUGGCACACUUUUAAUAGCCCCGUAAUGAAAACAUUCAGGAGGUGGCCAAUAUAUUAAGCAUGCUAGUGAUAAUAAUUUACUCUUUAGCAAUUUUAUCAUUCGCUGUUUUAAAUGUUGUUUCAUAUGAUAUCAAAUCUACUUUUAUAGGUAUCAUUCUCAGGGAAAAUGCCUGUACCAAAAGAAAGGUGAGAGAGAAAAAGUCCUUAAGUUCUAACCCGAACAAUCCCGGCGCAGAAACAAAAAUAAAACAUCAAGCAUAUAGCAACAAGAGUAUGAAGAAUCUAUUUUGCUUGAAAGAGAAAAUACAUGAGGAGAUUUGUUGAGUUUAUAGGAAAACUUGUAGGAAAACCUUAGAUUAGGGCUGCUGUGCAAUCCUGAAGUGCUAUUGAACCCUAAGAGCCCUCCUGUGAGUAAAUUACAAUGAAUCUGACUAAAAACCCUAAAGCGAGAGGAGAGUUCUCAUAAAGUGGAAGGCAAGGGGAAUGUUUUGCCGAUGAAUUGCGGUCAAGCAACUGGAGAGUGUUUUUAAUUUUUUUUUUCUUUAGAAAGAGAUAACAAGUUAUCUGCUUCAUUUAUUAGACAAACUGAACUAAACAUACAAGAUGAAAGCAGUUAAGGCUUCCGGAAAAAAAAUGAGACAUAAGUAAGAGAAAAGAAGAGGGAGGGGAAGUGUAAAAAAGUAGAAGUGAAAGAAAAGAAAAUUUAAGAAAAGAAAAAUAAAGGGAUAAAAAAAACUGAUGUCGGAGAUAGGGGUCGGCGGUCGACAAUCAGUGGAUCUCAUUCCAAGAGACCAUAAGGAGUUUUACACGCUCAACCGACCAAGUAGGGUUGGGAAGUUUCACUCGAAAGAUAAUAUUAUUCCUUUUUAUCCAAACGACUCACUAGAUUACCGACAAAAAGGUUAAACCUUUUAUUCUCUUCACAACAUCAUUUAGGCUAGUUGUCCUUGACUAGAAUACUCGAACAUCGUCUGAGACCUCAGCAAGAACCUCCAAACCAUCAGCAUAAAGGAGAAGAUAUUGAACAAACAUGCAGUUGCACAUGAGGUAAGCAAUUGGAAAGUGUUACGGAGAACAAUCCCAAUUCUACGUUUGGGUAGGUGGAAUAGGUCAUCAAGAGAAAAAUAAAAAAAAAAAACGUAAUAUGGUAGCACGUCACAUCUCCCAGACUGAUAUAUAUAAACGUGCUAGAAGAAAAUUAGGGCACAUAUGAAAGUGGCUAACCAGGAAGUUUGUCAUAAGGUUGCAUUAGUGCAUUAAACAUUAUUUAGCGCAUUAAGUACCAACAUCAACCGUUUUAAUAUCCUAUCCCUCUUUCCACUUAAUCUUGCUCUUCUUUAUUGUUAUUAAUUACUUUUCUAAUCUAAGUUAUGCUUGACUUUUUUAUAAAAUAACUCUCUAAAAUUUUAUAAUUUACGAAAUAACCUUAUCAAAUUUAUAUUUAGCAAACUAUCCCUCUCUUCACUAUGUAGGAGCCAUAUAGGAUUUUUCACCACGUAAGAUUUUUUUCCGAAACUCAAUGAAUUGUUAACCAUUUCUGAAAGUCUCCCAGGCCUUUUAAAGACAGUGAAUCAUUCGUCACAUUCACCAAGACGAUUAACGAUUCACCAUCUUCAUAAUUAUCAGGAUUGUAUGUGAAUUAUAUAAGAAAUAAAAAAAAAUAAAGUUAUUAGAAUUAUACCUGAAUUAUUAAAAUUUUUAUUUGAUUGUUAGAAUUGUAUGAAUAGAUUAUUAUAAUUUUCAGAUUGUUCAGAUAUAUGUAAUUUGUUAAAAUUUUUAUAUAAUUGUUAGAAUUAAAUAUGUGAUAUAAAAAAAUAGUAAAUAAAUAAAAGACAAUGAAUAAUUCAUUGUUUUUGUGGAGAAUUAAGAAGUCGGUAAAUCAUUAUGUCUUUAUAAAGGCGGUGAAUCCUUCAUGUCUUUAAAAAAAAAAAAAAUGUUAAUGUGGCUCCUAUAUAGCAAAAGAAGAGUUUGCCAAAAAAAAAAAAUUAUAGAGUUAAUUAUUCAAUUAGAAAAUUUUAUAAGGUUGUUUUGAAAAAAAUGUUUGUGGUCACGCAAGAUAAUGCUAACAGCCAACAUGUGGCGGCACUCAGUGGUAAGAACUGUGUACAGUGUACUACGAGUGCGCAGAGCAACAAACCAAUUACAUCCGAAAAAAAAAAAAGGAAAAAAAAAAAGGAUAAGGAGAGUAACAACCAACAAGAAGGCCAACCCAAAAAAGGUCCCGGGAUUGAAUCCCAGGCGGAGCGGAAAAAAACAAAUCCAACGGGGGUGCAGGGCUUUUUUAUAAAAUGACUCACUAAAAAACUGUAAUUGACAAAAUAAUCCUGUAAAAAUUUUAUUUAUAAAAAUAACCCUCCUUUCGCCACGUGAGCGCCACGUCAGAAUUUCUUUACAAAGACGGUGAAUUGUUUUCCGUUUUCUCUUAUUUCUUUUAAAAGCGGUAAAUUGUUUCUCGCUUUUUUCUUUUCUUUUAAAAAUGGUGAAUCUUUUUCUGUUUUCUUCUAUUUCUUUUAAAUGCGAUAAAUCGUUCACCGCAUUCAUUAAAAUUGUGCGUGAAUUAUAUAGAAAAUAGAAAAAAAUGAAAUUGUUAGGAUUAUAUGUGGAUCAUUAGAAUUUUUAUUUGACUAGUUGAAUAUAUGUACAAAUACACGUAACAAUUAAUUAUUUAAUACUAUUAGAAAAUACCUACCAUAUUUUGUCAACAAUAAUUAUAUAGUUUUUUUUUUAUUUUAUAAAAUUUAUAUAUAGUAUAGAUAUAGACAUACAUUAAACAUUUUUCUGAUAAAUUUACAUAUAAUGUAGAUAUAGAUAUACAUUAAAUAUUUUUCUGAUAAAUUUACAUAUAGUGUAGAUAUAGAUAUACAUUAAAUAUAGAUAUACAUUAUAUAUUUUUUAAUUCUCAUAAAUUUAAAAUUUAAAUAAAUAUUUUAAACUAAAAGUAUCAAAAUUAAACAGUUAAUAUAAUAAAAAAAAUAUUAGUAGAUAGAAUAGAGAUAAUAUAUAUAGAAGCAGAGAUUCUCCGGUAGCCAAAAAUUUGAAUAAGCAUAAAUUUUUUUUCUGUUGUAAAAACAAUGAAGAAUUAAAAGUUUGUUUAAUUCUGUUAUUUAUUUUACGUAAUGAAUAGAAGAAUUAUUUUUUUUUUCCGUCAAAAAAUAUGUCGACAGACUGAAAUUUAAAAUACGUGCUUUUAUAUAUAGUAUAGAUUAUUAAAAUUGUAUGUAUAGAUUAUUAGUAUUUUCAGGCUGUUAAGAUUAUAUAUGAUUUGUUAAAAUUCUUAUGUGGUUAUUAGAAUUAUAUAUAUGAUAUAAAAAGAAACAGUAAAUAAGUGAAAGACGGUGAAUCUACGGUGAAUCAUGAAUGAUUCACCGUCUUUAAAAGAAAUGAGAAAAAGCAUGAAACCAGUAACCGCCUUUAAAAAAAAUGGAAGAAAGCGGAAAAUGAUUCAGCGCUUUUAAAAGAAAUUCUGACGUGGUGCCGACGUGACGAAAGGAAGGUUAGUUUUUCAAAUAAAAUUUUGAGAGGAUUAUUUUGCAAAUUUUUAAAUUUUAGAGGGUUGUUUUAUAAAAAAGACCGGCGUGCCCCUAUGGGCGGAUAGACAUACGGAUGCAAUUUUGAAGUUAAAAAAAAAAAGGCCUACCCAGCUUUUACAAACACACGCUAAGGGAAAUACCAUACCUAUUAUGUAUCAUCAAAGGCAAAAUUCUCUGCCGCUGAAAUGCACAAAGCAGGUUUUGUUAGAAAGCACAACCUCAAAUAUAAUCAUAUAUCUAAAUGCAUUGGGCAAGAGCUAGAAAUGAAAAUUAGGACAAGGAAUCAAAAUUACUGUGCUCCUAAUAGAAUCUACUCUAAAUGUUUGUAACAGCACCAGUAAUUCUAAUUAUUUUUAAGAUAAAAGGUUAAAACAAAUGGCAGAAUAUAGGCAACGGUAUUCCAUUAAUCUGUACAACUAUCACUAGGUUACUGUCCAAGAUGCAUAGGCGGACAUGAGUAGUGGUUGUUACAGUUGCUAAUUGUCUACAAAGUAGGAGAUUCGGCUCCCGGAUGUGCUUUUAAAAAGGAAAACUCUAUUCUCGCAAAUUCAGCGAACCUAUUUAGGGUUGCAUCGUUGAUGAGGGGGGCUCCCUAGUUUGGCUCACCGAAACGGUGAGAAAAGAAUCGGCCUCUAAAAAAUAGGCUCGGGCCAAUGACUUCCAAAGUUAGAUAUUAAUAUAGGAUUUAUACCUGGCCAUUCCAUCAUCUUCAAAUAAAAACAAAACAAAACAAAAGGUAAAAAGAAAAGAAAAAACGCCUUAAAAAACCUCGAUUGGUCCCCUUAUUACCACUUAAAUACAUCAUUACUUUUCUUCCUUUUGAUUUUUCUCAGCGUGCAGUUCCAUCAACUUGUUUAAUCUGUGUGGAUCAGCAUGAGUAGCUUUUGUUGCGAUCCUAUCAAAUAGGCGCCCCUGUUAGCUACUGUUAGUGUCUCUAUAUACUGUUUUCAUUCUCUAAAUGUAAAGAGGGGGGGGAAUGAGGAGAGGGGGACCUCGCACCAUGAAAUGACAGCGACCCUAGAGAAAGAUAAGGCGACACAUUUCCUAUUUCGAAGCAUAAGGAACUGUUUAGGACAUCAGGGACACGACUACUCAAAGUUCCUUUCUUCUUUAUGCGUGUCUCUUUGUAGGUGCAUGGGGUUAAAGAAGAAAAUAAAUGAGAUGGCUCGUUUUGAUGGUGUGAGGACCACAUUGAAGAGAGAAAGAGUGAGAGAGAGACCACUGAUUAACAUGGGACUGACAAGUCAAGGAGGAAAGAUCAAGGCCUCUGUUCUUACUCACGAUCCAUCUCUUUCAUUCUCUUUUCUCAUUAGAAAGGUACCAAUAAUAAAUUUAUUGUUGCCAAAAAUGUACCAAGGCCCCCCUAUGCUAUGAAGUCCUUUUGAAAUAGGCCCUCAAGUUUUUUACUUUUUUACUUUUGUACCGACACCUCCAUCAACAUUUGUUAGUUCAAAAUUUUGUUAAAUUAAAUAGCUCAAUUAGCAUUAAGAUGCUAAUUAUAUUUUUUUGUUUGCUAAAAAAAGCAAUUAAAACUAUUAAGCUUAAUACAAUUACUGACGAAUUUAAUAAAAUUUUCAAUUUAAUUGAGUAAAAUCGUCAAAUUUUUUUAAAAAAUAACUAACGAGGUGUCAGAAAAAGUUGAAGAGGUCGUUUAGAAAAAAGUGGGCCUCCAUACAUUUUUACCCGUGUUGUUUUCUACCCGCAAUUAUAAUAAGAAAGACAGCAGCUCUUUGAGCGCAAAAAAUCAAGCAUAUAAUAAUGAACAUAAAAUAACAAAGCAAUUACAGAAGCUCAAAUGCUAUAACAAUAGAAAUAAGCAUCAAUGUAAAAAUCAAUAAUUUUCUACAGAUAACAGCACAGAUUGCAAAGCAUAUAAUCAAAAUAUUUUGAAUGGUUGGACACGAAGUUUGCAUUUUUUGAAACCUUAUGAAUGAAUAGCGAAGUCAUCCACAAAAUGCAAAUGGAAAAAAUCAACCAUCAGUCUUCACCUAUUUUCAAUUGAUUAUCAAAAUUAGAAGAUCAGAUUCCUUUAUGUUUAGUUGGCUCUUAUAACUUUUUGCAGAAAACCUCACCCUUCUAUUUUUAUUUUAUUAAACCAAUCAGCUAUAGAAUCAUAAAUUGCAGCUCCCUUUCUGAGGAAAACUAACUAUAUUAGAUCUAAAUUCCCCCAAAAAUCUAUAUAUUAGUCUGCAAGGCACCACAUUUUGCUUCAUCCAUCACAACUUAAGGUGUUCAAAGUUCAAAAUUGAUUCUUCGAUGCAUAGUGUCUUAGAUAGUCUUUUUCUAUUGUAGUAGUCAGAAGUCUUAAUAAAGAGGUGUAGAUUUCCUCCAUCUCCAUGUUUAGUAAAUUUCCGCACACGGAGAGAUCUCGUUAUCCAUAAAAGACGGAACGGAUCUUACCGUUGAAUCUGGACGGCUAAGAUCAAUCCUAACUUUUUUGAACAGCUGGAUUACUCCAUGUGCAGGAAUUUCUAGUAUAUUCGGUGGCAAGUGCAUACAGGCUAAACCACAAAUGUGCCAAUUGAAGUCUACCUGAAAUUAAAUCAAAAUGAAAAUGGCAUAGGGAGGGGUAACUCAUACCUCAAGAAAUGCAGCUUGGUCGCUGUCGGUGCUCGUGACUGUGUCAAGUAGAUAGAGCAAUAGUAUGUUAGACAUGCCCCCUAGAAAUAUCGACUGUGUCGAGUAGAUAGAACAAUAGUAUGUUAGACAUGCCCCCUAGAAAUAUCAUUGACAAGAUUGGGAUGAGCAAAAAACAUGAUAACAAAGAAAUGAAUCAUGAAAGCGCGUUGUAGAAAACAAAACUCUCACCAGUCUGGUGUCUGGUCUUUUGGGAAAACCAACAACAUAUCACCAAACUGUAUGAGGCUGACUCCAUGACACUAGCCCACAGCACCAAAGUGCAUAGAUAAAACCUAACAUCUUCAACAGAAUAAAGAAUAAAAGAACAAUGAAAGAAGAUCAGAAUGAGUGAAUGUUGUCAAUUAGAGAAUACAUGUAGAACAAUAAAAUAGAUAAUGGAUAUGGAGCAGGCUCUAUUCCUAUGUUACAAAUAGCAUCUUGUUGUUGCAUCAAAACAUAUAAAUGUUGACUAAUCUGGCUAACGUUGAACUUGGUAAAAUUCAAUGGUUGAAUAAAAAAUAAUGGAUACGGAGCAGGCUCUAUUCCUAUGUUACAAAUGAUUGUAAUGUCACUAUGUCACUAUUCCUAUUUCAGAUGGAUGCACAAGAGCAAUAAUCAUUUUGCCUGCAGGCUCUUCAUUUGAUGACCUACAACUAUAGCAGUUCCCCCAUAAUGUCAAAUAUGAUCUACAUUCUCCAAAAAGGAAGAAGUUCAUAUAUUCAUCUUGACAUACAAUAUCUGUCUAUCAAAAGAUUCAAAAUAGAAACAAAAAUCAAUAAAUAAAACUACGUUAAGCAAUACCUCAAAUACACCAUAUAAUUGACCAAAGGGCUAGAUAUGUUUCAAGCAUGUACACCGCCUCCUGAAUAAAAUAAUUGAAUGCUGCAUACUCCGAUGAGUUUAGUCAGUUGACUUAUACAAAAGAAAAUCAGCGACUAUUUAUGACAGAGUGAAAAGAUCCAGUAAUUAAGAAUAUAAAAAUCCAGAAAACUUUUAAGUUUCAAGGACACCUUUCAAAAGAAGGCAGAUAGUCCAGCAGAUAACUUUUCUGCCAACCAAGCUGCACAUACUGCAUCUGUCGACAACAUUUGUAGAUAAAUGUCCUAUUAUAUACAUUUUUUGAAGGUUUAAAUCCUAAUAACUAACCACCAUAGAUCAACCAAUACAAGAAUUUUACUUUGGAGCUUCAAUGAGGCAAUAAGCUUUCCUUAGAAGUUAGAGUAUCUUUACCUACAAACAAGAAGCUAGGAGGAAGAAAUGGUAGUAGAAGAAACAGAAGAGCUGGAGUCACAAGAGGAUCACCUCGCCUGCAGGAAUUUCCUGCAUAUAGGAUGGAAAAGAGAAAACAACUAAGCCACAAAGGUGUUUAUUGAAGCCUACCCUAAAUUUAAUCAAAUGGAAAAUGGUGCAGAGCGGGAAAACUCAUACCACGAGGGGUGCCCAUGAAAAAAAAAUGCUUGGUCACUGAAGGUGCUAGGGAAUAUGUCAACUAGAUAGAGCAACACUAUGUUAGACAUUACUCUAAGAAAAUAACAUUUUCAAGUUUAGAUGUGCGAAAAUAGUGACUACAAAGAAUGAUAUAUGAAAGGGCUUCACAGUAAACGAUACUCUUAGCAGUGCAGUCUGAGCGAAGACCUUGCAAGUCACUACUCAGUUCGCUAAACUGUGUGCGGCUGAUUCCACGACGCAAACCCGUGCAGAUGAAUGCAUGGGUGAAACCUGAUACCUUCAACAUAAUAAAGAACAGAGGAAAAAAGAAAGAAAAUCAAAAUGAGUGAAUGUUAUCAAUUAGAGAAUGUACAUAGAGCGAUAAAAUAGAAAAUGGAUAUAGAGCAGGUUGCAGUCACAUAUUACACAUAGUCACUAGGGCAAAUGAUGCUUGCCCACAAUGCUCCAAACUAAUAAACACGAUUCCCAUCUCAAAAGAGUGCCUAAAAGCAACAACCCUUUUCCUCAACCGUUCUUCAUUUGAUGACUUACAACAUCUCGGGUUCCUCGUAUAAUAUCACUGCAACAGGAUAGAGAAACAAAUAUGAUGCACAUUCUCCCAAAAGGAAAAAGCACACACAUUGAGGGUCUUUAUUUUAGUUUUUUCUUUUAUUGAAGUGCUGCAAAUGUCAAACUACAUAUGGUUGUUGUCUUUUGGUAUCCCUUAAUAAUCAGAAGCACAAAUUAGGCACAAAGUGUUUGUGCUGUCUAAAACUAGUAUCUCAUAACAAAUAGAAGUUCUUGCAGAAAGCUAGAAUUACUGAUUCCACAAACAAUUGGCACCCAAACAGCUUUUUUUGCAGUAAAAUCUAUUGUACUCUCAUGGGAUAGACCCAGAUUCCUGCAGGACUGAAACAGCUCUAACAGCAACAGAAAGAUGAAAAGCAUGAAAGAAAUACAAAAGCUUGUAUAAGAGAAUAAAUUAAAACCCUUCUUUUAGACAUCUUUUUUACAAUAAAUAUUCAAUCAGAGGCCAUGCUUGGAUCUUGCAUUGGUGAUGCUUUUGCACUCUGAUCAAGCUGGAUCAAGCUAACAGCAGGAGAAUCUUAUUUGCUAGUAGUUCUGUCAAUACAUAAAUCAGCUUAUUUAUGAGUAACAUCCUGAUGGUGAGUUUGAUUCAACUGUAAUGGAAAGAAAGUGAUCGAAAGAAAACAAAAGAAGAAAACCAAGGAUUUAAGUGCCCAUUAGCAUGGGCCUUGCCCGUACUGUGCCAACAAGAUAUCAGUACGAUAUGACUCCCACGCCAAUUGCGACAUUUAAAACCCUUUUUUUUUAGAUUGACAAGUUGUUAUAUCAAUAAAAUGAAAAAGAUUUAAUAAAUAUAUACAAUAAGCAAUUAGAAUAUAUUGAUACUAAAGAAAAUAAAUAUUUUACAUCAUUGUGUGUCGGUACACAAAUAUAUUUUUGAAUGGCACACAUCGGCAUGGUACAACAUAGCAUGCACUCUCGUACAAUGCUGGCAAGUGCUAUGCUCAGCCCCAUGCCACAUCACCUAAAUCCUUGCAAAAAACAGACUCAAUUUACUUAAAAAGAAAAACAUAUACAAACAAAUAGACAAUUGUGCUUUUGGUUGGCUUGUGAUUGAAUAGCUCAUUCUAGUAAUAAUGAUCCUAACAACAGAAUAGUAGAGAACAAAAUUUGGAAAAGACCACAAAAGAAAGAACGGGAAAAAGACAAAAGCCAAUUAAGCAGUGAAUUCAUCUAAACAUCAAAAGACAAAAUCCCAUAUAACAACUGAAAAUAGAAUUGUGAAACCCCAAAAAAGAAAAACACUAUAACAGAUAAAAAAUGAUUUUGGCAAAUGAACUGAGAAGAAUAGUCAAGCAUCAUCGCAUUUAUACAUAUAAAUCACUGAAAUUCUACUUCAAUUGUUGAUAAAUGAUUCUUGAGCCACGUCUAUCCUUUAAUUAUCAAAUAGUUACUGGGACGGAUUUGAAAUUAAAUGAUGUUGCAUUUUCAGACAAUCAAUGUAGUUGCCGCCUGAUUCUCGGAACAAUAUAAGUUUAACCAAAUCUACAUAACGGCCGAAAACAAUAGUUUGACCACUCUAAGGGACCUCCAACGUCAGUUCAUCCUUGAAUUCAGAUGUAGGAGUUGGUACAGUACCAGAAUUCCUAGAUACGUAUAUGAGUUUUCUAGUUAUCCUUAUUCUCAAUAAAUUAUACAGUUCCUGCAUUCUAGGAUAGCAACUACAUGUACUUUAAGAAGGACUAUCAACUAUGAAGGAACUAAAACCAAAAAGAACAAUUAACUGUUAAAUGGCUUUACUAUUCGCUUGCUUUAGUUAGCCCUGAUCCUCCAACUAAAAGAACACAAAAUAAUACACGUAAUUUCUCUUUUCUUAAUACGAUGAAAUAACGAACUGUACACUAGAACUACAUGAUCCAAAGAUAGCAAGAGAAUAUUGACUGAGACUCAUAAACAUACAUGGCAAAUAAAGAAUAAGAAAAGAGUAAAACAGAACAAUCAUCAAAAUUCAAGGAUCAAAUUGUUGCCUCUUACUGUUCUUGAAGUUUAUCCAAGCCCCAAGAAGAAGGCAUGGAUAUAAGUGUCUUCAAAGACUCCCGGCCAAAAUUUUACAGCAUAAGAUGGAUCCAGCACAUCCUUCCGCACAAAAGAACAAAAUUUUACAACCUAAGAUGGAUCCAGUACAUCCACACAAAAGAAGAUAGACUAGUAAUAUAUAUAGACAAAAGAUAUUAAUUGAUUGCUUUCGCCUCAAAUACAAAAAAGAAAUGGAGCAGUUGAUACAAAUGCAAGAAUGAUUCAGGAAGUAUGUGACAGGACAUCCUUCUACAGGCAUGGAUACAACUGUCCUAAUACCCAACCCAAAAUCUCAUGCAUAAGAUGGAUCCAACACAUCCUCCUGCGUGAAACAACAGAAAUCAUAACAACAUAUAUGCCUAUAUGCAUCAAAGGUAGAGGUUUCACCUUACAGCUACCAACAAGAAAGGGAGUAAAGUGCUUUGAUUGAGAAUUUCAACCAAUGAGAGAAAGAUUCAGCAAUCGAAUGUGAAAAAAAAAACCCUCAUAAAAGUAUGCUCCAGGACAUCCUUCUUAAAGAAAGAACAUGAUCAGAACUAUACUGUGCAUGAAACAGAGAAGUAUCAUUAUACAGCUGUAUUGCCUAGUAUGCACAACACAGUAAACAAUUCUUUCCGCAUGACCUGAUCUUCAGAUCAGCAAGAUCAUGGAUAUAUCGCGGAUGAAAUAUUAAAAGCACCACGACAUAAUAAACGAUUCUUUUAACUAUAAUGGAUUCAAAUGCUAAGGCAGCAAGAAAGGGAGCAGAGAGUUGUUCACCUCAAGAACCUGACAUGAUCUUCAGAUCGACUGAUUUAAAGAACGGAUCCGAGGCAAAGAGAUCGUGUUGUUCUCUUCAAAACCUGACCCGAUCUUCAGAUCAACUGAUCUAGGGAACGGAUCUAGGGUGAAGAAAUAUCUGAAAACAAGAAGGGUUCUGAAAUUAAAACGACAAAACUAGCAUUAUAAGACAAUGAGUAGAGGAUCAUUCGCUUCAAGAAACCUAACCUGAGAUGAGGGUUUCCGGGGGUUGGAUUCCGAAGAAAGGAGGAGCUGUUCCACCGUGUUUCUUCCUUCAAGCCCGAUCUAGGGUUUGAGCACCUCCACCUUCACCUAGUGGAAUCCAUGAACGUUAGACCUCAUCAAUGGAAUGAAGCUGGGGCUCGGGGAGGAGGGGAGCGAAGAGGGCGGGGAGAGGAAGGGGAAUGACCCCUUUGUUGCCGUUUGUAGCUUGAAUGAGGCGGGGUUUGGAAAUUUGGGGGUGACGAGGUAUUUAUAGGAGACGAAGAGAUCACUGGACGUGGAUACGGGUAUCGUACGCGUAUACCGUCUAAACGUACGCCCACUCCGAAUGCAUAUAUCACGUGGGGUAAAAUUUAACGGUCGGGAUUUGAUUUUAUUCUAUGACGUUACACCUGUGGACGUGUGGAUUGUGUCGACAAAACCGACUGGGAGUAGGAAAUAGGGAAUUUAGUAAUUUACUGUUACCUGUCGAUGUCCCUUUUUUUUCCUUUUUCUUUUUCUUUUUUUUUUUUCAUGUGACAAUGGCUGUGGAUUGCAUACCUCUUCUCGGCUAUAUUUUGUUGGGAUAUAAAUAAAAAUUAUUUAAUUUAUAUUAAAGAUAAGUAUAAUUUCAGAUAUAAAGAAAAAUUAAAGUAAAUUUUUGUUUGAAUGAAAAUUUGAUUGUUUCUGAAAAUAAGCUGAAUAGUAUUUGAAUUGUUAGAUUAAAAUAACAAAAAUAAAAAUAUUUAUUAUUUUAAAGUAAUAAUAGUUUAUCUAAUUAAUUAAUAUCAAAAUAUUAAUUAAAAAUAAAUUUAAAAAUUUAAAAAUUUAUUAGCAAUAUUGUAAAAGAUAUAAAAAAUACAUUUAUUAAUUAAUUAUAAUAUAUAUCGUAACUUUGUAAUUAAUUAGUAAAUUAUUUAAUUAGUUAGAUGAUUUGUUGAGAAAUUAAUUUAAUUAGUCAAAAUAUUAAUUAGUUGACCAAUAUAGAAAUUAGUUAUUAAAUAAACACAUUACAAAAUUAAUUUUUAAUAACCUAAUUAACUAUAAAUAAUAAAUUAAUUAAUUAAUUACUAUUUAAGCAAUUGAUAUUUGAUACUGUCUUUUAUAAAUUAAUUAGAUUAAUUAAUGAUUUAAUACGAGAAUUAAAAUUAGAUAUAGAUUUAAUUAAGCUUCUCCCAAGGGGGGGGGUGGAACAGCUGUUUGAAUCUUAUACCUGCUUAUUUUUCAAAAAGGAGAAUUACUGUUCUCUCUAUACUAAAAUGAUAUUUAGGUAUAAGAUAGGGAAUAAGAGUUUAUUUGCCACCUUAUAUCCUAACCAAACAAUACCCAAAGGUAUUACAGAGGUUAGACCACCAAAUUUAAGCACAGACAAAAAUAUAAAUUUGUAAUCCGAAAAUAGAUUACUGAACAUACAAAAGUAAAUUUUAAGAGCAAAAUUGUUACAUGCGCAAGAUUGAAAAUGAAGGAAGAAAUUACCUAGAACUCAGAAGAAGCAGGUUGAAAGUAAAAUUUUAAACAAGAACAGUAUACUCUGCAGUAACAAACACAUCGACUAAUAAUUCUCACUCUACUAGAGCAAUUUACGAAAAGAGGAAAAACAUUCUCUCUCUCUCUACCAUGAAUGCAAGACAUGGCCUCGUCCCUACCCCCUUUGCCUGCCAAAUCCCUGCGGUAGGUGAAACAAGCAGAGACACCAUUAGUGAGGAAGGUCAGGUGAGUUUAGCUUCCUGUGUGCGUAUCUGUACGAGGGAUCGCGUUGGAAAGGGGAAAAAAAUCCUGAAGAGGCUCGCAUGGGCGGACGAGGUAGGUGGUGAGUUAUUGAAGGUUUCCUACUGUAUUGACGACGACAAGUUGAACUUAGCUGAACCCGGUAAGGGCACCAAUCGAGGUGCUAGGGAAGUAUUUACUGCUGGACAUCAUUGGAGCAAGCUUCGGGGCGCGUCUGGUGGAUUUUCGAGUGGGGAUAAGACCAGCGGGGAAGGUGAGUCCAGUAAUUGCCCCUCCCUGAACAAAGGUUCUUAUAAAGAGGUGCUGCUAGGGAGGCCUUCGUCCCAUACCCGUGUGCACAACCUCCAGCAUCCUUACUCCCACUCCUCUCCUCUGCGCACCGCCCGGGGCCGCUCUUCAAGGAGGCCGGUGAGGAGGUGUUUCCGGUGCCUGGCAAGCGAUCACCUCGUAGCGGCGUGUCGCGACCCCAUACGGUGUUCCAGGUGCUGGAAAACCGGCCAUCGAGCGAUUCGCUGCAAGGAGACUCCAUCGACUAGCAACUGCAUUAUGAAUCGAGUGCCGAAUCUCAGGGGGCGGGCUCCUCGGCCCAAGGUCUACGUACCCUACACUGAGGAGUACGUGCGUAGAGUUGAGCUACGCCGUAAUGCCAUCCUAGCAGAUGUCAUCCAGCCCGCCAACCUGGGCCCGGACCCUAUCUCUGUCAUCAAGACUGCGCUCGCCAGCCGUUUCGGGGGCUAUACUGAGGACUUUGCUGUUGCGCGUUGCCGAGAAAGGGAGUUUGCAAUUUUUUUGCCGGAGUGGGUCCCUGCUGCCGUCCUGAUUAGAAGAGAAGUCCUCACGCUGGAUGGCUUCUGGCUUCGAUGUUGGCCGUGGGGCCGGUACCGUGAUGCGCGGCCACAUCGGGUCCAAUAUAAAGCGUGGAUCCGCCUUAUCAAUCUCCCCUACGAGAUUUGGUCCGUGCCUCGUGUGGCGGCGCUCGUCUGUGGUUUUGGCCGGUUCAUCAAAGCGGACAGCGUGACCAAGGCGAUGACGGACCUCCGCGCUUUCCGAUGUCAGAUUGCGCUUGACUCGAUCACCAGCAUCCCUCAAAAUUUAUCGGUGAUCGUCGGCGAGGAAAUUUUCCCGGUUAUGGUGCACUUGGAGAGGUGGGAAAGAACUGUGGAAGGUGGAGGUGCAGCGCCACCUGCUCCGCCGCGCAAUGGAGAAGCCAACAAAGACGAGCAGGCGCCUAAUCGGAUUCAUGGCCGCUUUGACGACAGAGGAGAGGACCAUGCAGAUGAGGACAUGGAGGACGCGCCUGGGGAGCUUGACGAAGCCGUACCUAACCCUUCAAAUCAUUCGACUUCGACGGUCUCGCCGGCAGCGCGCGCUCCCUCGGCGGCCCGCCAACUUGGUUCGGAGGUGUUGCGCCGACCGACGGUCUGCCGACGUGUCUGGAUGGCAACGGGUCGCAGAUACUCGAAGUCCGAGGCGUUGGCUGUGGUUGGCCCGAGGCAGGCUGACCGUAGCGGGGUUCCCGAGCUUUGUUCGAAACCGGCUAGUGGCCAGCUCAGGGACAGGAUGACCUGUCUAGCUCCUCAUUCCUCUUCAAGGGGAAAUCUCUUUUCUCUGUUCGAAGAAUUUCCUUGGGAGGGGGAGAGGCUGACUUUUGAUGGCGUGGGGCCCGAGGUUGUUAAUGCGCAGAGUAAAACCUCAAGUUCAAAACUCCUGUUGGCCACCUCGAUCCUUGGGGUCACUUUUUUCACCCCCAAUCCACUAGGAGUGCUGGGUGGCAGCCGGGGUGGGCUAUCUUUUGGGCUGAUUAGUGGGCCCCCACCGAGUAUCCGAGCAGGGCCCGCUUCGUUAUUUUUUUGUCAGGCCUUGAGAGCAAUCUUGAGUGCACCAUUGGCCCUUGAGCAGGGUUUCCUUUUCUCUUGUGACAGUUGGGCCUUUUCGAUCACGCCUGCAGGGAAGGAUUCAACGGACGGGUGCCGCAUUACAGUAGAUUCUUAUUUUCUUCAGCAACUGCCACUCGGAGUUGUGGGAGCAGCCGCGACCAACUGCACUUUGCUCCCCUCUAGUGAUCUGAUUGCUGGGGACUCGGUCUUUUCAGAUGCCUUCGGAUUUCAAUCGCCUUCCACCCCAGAUCUUCUGGUUAGCCCAAACUUUGAUCCGGUUCUGAGUGGGAUCCCAGCGUGUGUGUUUGAGCCGCAGAUACCGGGGGCAAUAGAGCCAGUGCCGUCAGGUAGUUCAAGAGCCUCUUCCCCAGCGAUUGUGCCAAGAACCUGUAAGUGACUCGCUGCAUACCGCAAGCGAUCAAUCCUACACAAGGCAAUGGAAAGGAAGAGCAUUCAGCGUGAGGGGGUUCAGGAGGUUGGGCGCAGAACUCCUGUGGAGAAGAUCACCUACAAGAGUCACCUCUGCGGGGUGGAUUUAGGAGAGAACGAGGCUAAGACCUUCUCCGCUUUUCUGAACGAAUGCAAAUAGGCAGGACGAGUAGGGUUUCUGUAGACUCUUUUUUUGGGUUUUGGUGGUGAGAGUCUAUCUGUUUUUUAUAUGUUUCGCGUCUGUAGCUGGAAUGUUAGGGGGCUCAACGACCCCUCUAAACGGUGUGCCGUUAGGGCCGUAGUGUCUAAACUUCAUAAUGCAGUAGUUUGUAUCCAGGAGUCGAAAGUUGACCAUGUUUCGAGUUCCUUCCUUAGUAGUUUCGGGGGACCUUUGUUAAACAAAUGUGUUUUUCUUGAAGCCAACGGUGCCUCUGGGGGAAUUAUUACGAGUUGGAGUUCCCUUUUUUCACUUGCUUGGAGGUAAUCGUAAGGACAUACUCCAUUACUACUCUGCUUUCCUCCACCACGGGCGGGUCUAAGUUUUUUCUCACGAACGUCUACGGACCCGCCUCUUGGGACGGCAAGGAAGAUUUCUUCGCCGAAUUGGUUCAGCUGAAAGAUCAUUGCGUGGGCAAGUGGAUCAUCUGCGGCGAUUUUAACUGUACGAGAGGUCAAGAGGAGCGAAGGGGAAAACUUUGGAGCACCAAAGCCACAAACUUAUUCAACGAGCUGAUCAGAGAGCUUGCCUUGAUUGACCCACCGAUGUCCAACCAAUCCUUCACUUGGUCCAACAUGCAAGCACUUCCAACGUGUGCGCGGCUCGAUCGUUUCCUUGUCUCAACUGAAUGGGAUCAGGAGUUCCCCCUCUCCAGAGUUGAAGCACUUCCUCGAAUUACUUCAGACCAUUGCCCUAUCUUGCUAACUGUGGAAAAUUCUGCUAGGGUGAAUCACACGAUCUUCCGGUUCGAGGAGGCUUGGUUGAACCAUGAGGGUUUUACCUCUAAACUUCCGGAUUGGUGGAGGGAGGUUCCACUGAACACGCGGAAUACCCAGAAUAAAUCGGCAGUUUUAACCUUCACAGCGAAGCUGAGACACUGUCGCAUUAGGAUCAAGGAGUGGUGUGCUAAUGAAUUCUACAGUAUUAGAGGAGUUAAAAACCACCUAAUGGAAGAAAUACAGAAGAUUGAUAAAGCUGAGGAACUGGGUGAUUUUUCGCACAACUUAUGCUCUAUGAGAGCGGAACUUAAGGCUAAUCUAGGAAAAGUCUUGUACGACGAAGCAACACUUUGGAGAUCCCGGGCCAAACAGCACUGGCUGCGAGAGGGGGACGGUAAUACUAAGUUCUUCCACGCUGUAGCUAACGGCAGACGCAGAGCUAACUGGAUUGGCACGAUCGUCGAUAACGGUUCCACUUACCAAGCCGAAGAGGAUAAACGAAAUUAUUUUUACCAAUCCUUCAAGUCACUGUUCACUCCUGAGGUAUCGGCCCCACCUUCCUUUGGAAACUGGGACAGGUUAUUCCAAUCCGAUAGCAUUGCGACUCCUGAUUUAGCAAGGUUAUCCGAUCCCUUCAAUUUAGAGGAAAUCAAGAAAGCCGUUUUUCAACUGGGAAGCGACAAGGCGCCGGGACCGGAUGGUUUCCCUUUGAAGUUCUACCAAACGUUUUGGGACACUGUUAAGGAUGAUAUUUUGAGUAUCUUUCAGGAAAUGUACGAGGGAAGGCUCUCCACGGAUGCCAUCGACUACUCUUUCAUUUGCCUUAUUCCUAAGAACGAGGGGGCAGUGCGAGCAAAUGACUUUAGACCCAUAAGCUUGUUAAACGGGAUCCAAAAAAUUUUAUCUAAGGUUUUGACCAAUAGGCUAGACCAGGUUAUGAAGGAUCUGAUAUCCCCGUCUCAGUCUGCUUUCCUGAAAGGCAGGAACAUUACCGACGCUUUUGCAUCAGUUUCCGAACUUAUUGGAUGGGGUAGCAAAUUGUCNUAUAUAUAUAUAGGAGUGAUCUGUGAAAUUUGGACUCGUCAUUAGUAAAUUUCACAUUGUUAAAAUACCAUCAUCUUUCAAUCAUCAUAAUGUGAUGAUUUUAUGCAUAGUUAAGAACAAUCUACUUACAUCGUCAUCUAAAAUAAAUACUCGUCAUUUUCAUCUCUCCCAACCUAAUAUGUAACAAAAAUAACCUAAUAUUUGAAUUGAGAUUAAGGGUUCGUUUGGAAUUGCGGGGAGAUUGCGUUAUGUGCGAUGGAAAAAUAUGUUGAAAAAAAUAUCCUUUUGUUUUACGUAGAGUGAUGAGUCAGUAACGAUAUAUUUUCCACGGUCCCACCGGAUAACGCAGAAGCAUAUCUCUAUAUAUUUUUUUCUCAACUCUAUUUUAUCUAAUAGCGUUGGAUAGAGCUCAAUAUCAAACUAAACCUAAAUAUUCAACACAUUUUAUAUAAUUUUGAGCCACUGGCUUAUAAGAAUAAUCUCAAAUUAUCUAUCAUUGGACCUAUUAAGAGAAGUGCUAGAAUUAACAAAAACGCUUGAUGUUAUUAAUUAAACCAAAUGUCAUAAUAAAUGAUAUUAUUUGAUACUAAAGAUUAGCAUGCGGGAUUAUUUUUUUAGAUGUUAAUUACAUCAGGAGUCAAAUAUAAAAUAAUGCCUUUUCUUUCACCUGGCUAUUAGUUAGGGAUUUGAGCACCCACUGUAGUUAGCGAGAUUUUAAGUUUAGCAUGUGAUUGGUUACACGUAAAACUGUGAAAAAAAAAUUCAGUAAAAAUAAAAAUUUUUGAGAAAAAUUUUUUUAUGCUCUCUGGUAGGGCUGGCAAACGAGCGAGCCGGCUCGNGUCUGAUCAAGAGAUCAUCCUCUCUCUCUCUAUCUUUCCCUCGUCCAGCUAGCUCCCUCUUUCUCUCUCUCUCCUCCUCUCUCCUACUCUCUCUCUCUCUUCCCUUCUCCUCUCUAUCUUAGCCCCUUUCUCUCUCUCCCUAUCAUUCAUUCUCUCUCUCUUUUCACAGGGCUGGCUUGGGCAGCGUCAACAGCGGCAAUGGCUUGCGUUGGCGCCGUCGCUAGGGGUCGGAAAGGGAGAGUGCAGCGGCGGCAGCAGCGGCCACGGAGGUUGCGGGGGCGUCGAGGGCGGAGAUGUCCGCCGCCGAGAGGAUGGCCAGCGCGCGAGUGGAGAGCGAGCAGCGGCAGGCGGGGAGAGGGCUAAUGAAGGGAUGGAGGUUGGGGCGGCGGUGGCGGUGGCGGUGGCGGUGGCGGUGGCGAUGGCGGUGGCGGUGGCGGUGGCGAUGGCGGGGGACACCCACUCAACCCUACCACCACUGGACCACGGCUGGCCACCACGCCGGCUUCAUCGUCAUGUACGGCUUCACCUUCUUCUCCGCCAACUUCGGCCCCAACGGCACCACCUUCAUUGUGCCCCGCCGAGAUCUUCCCCGCCAGGCUGCGCUCCACCUGCCACGGCAUCUUCGCCGCCGCCGGCUAGGUUGGCGCCAUCGAUCAUUCCAAAGAUCUCAUUUGCCCUCAAAAAAAAGAAAAAAAAAGAAAAAAAAAAAGAGAGAGGCAUGAAGUAUAACUUCGCAACUUCUUAUCUGUUUUUAUUUUUUUCAUUUCUAAUAUUAUUUUUUUUUUCAACAGAAAAGAUCAAAAUGUCUUUUUUUUUUAUAAUAAAUAGAAAUGGUCAUAUGCUUCACUACAAUUUUUUCUGGGCAUGUAUUCUUCUUCUUAAACCUCUUUUUAUUUACUUUUUUUUAAUUAUAAAUUUUUUUUGUUUUAUUUUUCUACUUAACUGUUUCAUUAUAAUUUUACUUAACUAUAAUAUAAAAUUAAUCGUUAACCGCAGCGAAACGCGGAUUCUAUACUAGUAACUAGAAACUUUUUAUUAGUUUCAUAAUGUGAAUUCAAAAUAAAUAAAUAAAUAUUAAUAAUGUUAGAAACUUGAUUCGACUCUAACUCACCUUUUUAAACAACUGUUGGAGAUUCCAACAAUCUAACUCUCAAUUUCCAGAAGGGCUAUCCAAAACACCAACCAAACAGCCCAAAAAUGUGGAUUGGCCUGUGGUGGGCCCCUUCCUAAUCUAGAAAUUGUUGACUAGACCAUUAAUAAAUAAAUAUAUUAAACUAAAAAAAAUGCUAUGUGUACACCUUAGGUGGAAAAGUAUAUUUUACACUCCCUUCGUCUAAAGAUUAAAAAGUAUUUUUAAAAUUUUUAAUAUUUUAAAAAAUAGAAUUAUGAUAAGACUAGUAAAAUAAAAUUGAUCAUUGAAUAAAUAAAAUAUAAGAUUAACACUUUUUUUUAAUAUAUAUAUAGAUAGGAGUGAUCUGUGAAAUUUGGACUCGUCAUUAGUAAAUUUCACAUUGUUAAAAUACCAUCAUCUUUCAAUCAUCAUAAUGUGAUGAUUUUAUGCAAAGUUAAGAAUAAUCUACUUAUACAUCGUCAUCUAAAAUAAAUACUCGUCAUUUUCAUCUCUCCCAACCUAAUAUGUAACAAAAAUAACCUAAUAUUUGAAUUGAGAUUAAGGCUUCGUUUGGAAUUGCGGGAAGAUUACGUUAUGUGCGAUGAAAAAGUACGUUGAAAAAAUAUCUUUUUUGUUUUACGUACAGUGAUGAGUCAGUUACGAUAUAUUUUCUGCGGUCCCACCGGAGAACGCAGAAGCAUACUCUAUAUAUUUUUUUCUCAACUUUAUUUUAUCUAAUAGCGUUGGAUAGAGCUCAAUAUCAAACUAAGCCUAAAUAUUCAACACAUUUAUAUAAUUUUGAGCCACUGACUUAUAAGAAUAAUCUCAAAUUAUCUAUCAUUGGACCUAUAAAGAGAAGUGCUAGAAUUAACAAAAACGCUUGAUGUUAUUAAUUAAACCAAAUGUCAUAAUAAAAGACAUUAUUUGAUACUAAAGACUAGCAUGUGGGAUUUUUUUUUUAGAUGUUAAUUACACCAGGAGUCAAAUAUAAAAUAAUGCNAUAUAUAUAAUAUUUAUAAAUAUAAUGUAUUUUAAUUAUAUAUAGGCUUUAAUUUAAUUUGGGCCAUUAUUGUUGGCCCAUAAAAUAAACUCAACAAGUACAAUCGUACAAUUGAGCCCAAUUCUAAAUUUACAUAAUACACUCUCUCUUUCAGUCUUUCACUGUUGCACGUAACCCUAAAACAUGAUAACAUUCAAAUUUUCAAAUCCCUAUUUUUUUUCCUCUCUCUCUCUCUCUCUCAGACCCUCAUCUAGUUAGGAAGUUACCCUAGCUCACAUUUCUUAUAAUUAUUUUGUAUUUUAAACUAUUGGACAUAUUGCAUCAAAUUGUAGGUAAUGUUCUAUAAAAAUUAAACUAUUGAUUAUAUAAUGUCGAGAAUUUCAAUCAGCUCGUUUAGAGCUCGAGCUCGACUCGACUCGAAAUUAGGCUCGCUCGAGCUCGGCUCGAAUUAAUUUCAAGCCGAGCUUGAGCCUAGAUUUAGGCUCGAAAUUAAUUUCAAGCCGAAUUUGAGCUGAAAUAAGCUCGCUCGAGCUCGGCUCGUUUCCACCCCUACUCUCUGGUGUUUGAUUUGUAGGAAAAAAAAAAAAAUCAACUGAUCCAGGUCGCUUGUGGACUCUCUGGUCCACGAGGUGAAGUUCACAUCGUGGACCGAGUGUUAACAUCCUACUCCGCAUUUUUUUCUACGAAGUUUACAAUUUUCAAUUUUCGCUUGAAGAGAAGGAAAAACCAAAACACUAGUUUUCUAAAAGUCUGUAAAUUUUUUUUUUUUUAACGAACAAUCAAAAAAUAAAAAAUUAUUUUUUCCAUGUAAUUUUUGGACUAAUUUUACAAGGAUCCAAAGACACCCAUAAAACAAACUGGCUCGGUUCUCUGUACCCGGUCCAGCUACUUAUUAGUCCUCACAUCCAUCGGCCACGUGGACGCACGCAAUCCGCCACGUGUCCUCUGCAUUUAUUAUUUUAUUUUUAUUUAUUAAAAUUAAAACCCCAACCCCUGUACCUUUUCCCCGACCCUCCCACUCCUUUACUCGCCUCUCUCGUUCUCUCUGAGUGGACCUCCAACCCCGACCUUCAGCGGGAGAAAAAAUGGCGGAACCCCAAGAGAAGAGCAAGCGAUCCUCCAACGCCGCUCUUGCGGACGAUCUCGACCGUUCGAUCGAGAUCGACGGCCCCUACUACGACACCCUCCCCGCGCUCCUCCGCAGCUUCUUCGACGUGGUCGUCUCCCCCGCGCCGCCGCCGCUCAUCCAGCGGAUCAAGGACGCCACCGCGAAGUGCGCCCCGCGGCUUCGAGAAGCUUCUAGAAACUCCGCGCGAGAUCUUCUGCAAUGGACUAGGCGGGGGAGCGCCCUACGCGCGCUUCUCGUCAUCUCGGUGAGUGUAUUAUUAAAGAGGGCUAAGAUCCUAAUAAAAUUGAGCAGAAGAUAGUAGUGAUCUACUCUUUGUAGUAUUUCUCCGAUUUCUUCUUCUUUUUUUUUCAUUUGUUAAUUUUAGAGCUUAUCAGUUUCAACUCUAUUUAUUAGCCAUAGUUGAUUUUUUUUAUUUUUACAAAUUAGUUGUUUAUUUCUACUAGAAUAAAGCAGUGUGUGGUUUAUAUUUGAGAUCUGUUCAACUUUUAGGGGGAGAAUUUUUUUGAUGUCGAAAUUAGUCAACUAAUUCGCUUCAAUUUCUAGAGAGGUAACGUUUGUGAGAGAGUAAGUAUAUAAUUCUGGAUAAUUAUUGUGAUUUAUGAUUGAAAAUUAUGGCUUGACAUUCUUGUAAUCUAAAAAUCUCUGAAUCGACAAAUCCACUGCAGAGCGUGGAUAUUUUGAUAUAUGGAUGUUGUGAAGCUAUUGUGGUGUGGAAAUUUUCAUAUUCAUAGCUUCUGGUGCUGAUUAUAAACCUUAAGUCUAGAUAAGUAUAGGAUUGACUUGAUGAAAUUAGAUUACCAAAUGUUUUUCUGCGGUGAAAUUAAGUAUCAGCCCUCUUUUUGUUCACGAAAGAUAUCAAUCACCUGCGGCGCUUUGCCCCUUUUGAUGGAGGUUUCUUCAAGUGAAUAACAUGGUGUGAUUAAAAGUCUUGAUAAUGAUGGUGGGACGUUAUAAGUAGCGAGUAGAUUCAUGAAGAAGAGGCCAAACGGCAUCAGAAAAGAAGCAUCAGAACAAAGUUGCGGAAUAUGAGAAAAUGUUUUUCUUGAAUGGUAGGAGGAUCUGUAGAAUCGGGUCAUAAGACUUGCUUCUUCUAGUUCUAUUUGUAAGAUCAGGACAGCAGGAGCGCGACAAAGUGGAAUUGUUUUAUCGCAUUAUGCAAUCAGCACGUCUUGUGAAAUAUAGUCUAGCAACAGAGUGUAACUUAGUUUGAGGAGCAUUGGAGCAAAAGGUUUUUAUAUGAUUCUAAUCGAUUGUUGGCCUGAAGCCCGUUCCCUUUGGGCUUAUGUAAAUGUGUUAUUCGAGUAGAGCUGUCGGAAUAAGCUCUACUAGAUAUUCUGAUUGCAGCUCUCCCAUUAGCUUCUUAACGUAGUUAGAAGCAACCGACCGUCCCUAGCGCAAGUGGCAAAGGGCUUGGUGGUCGGUACCUGAGAUCCCAAGUUCGAAUCCUAGUUGAUUCAUAUUUUCAGCUAAGUUUAUUUCUAAAUGAAAUAAACGAAGCGGGUAGCAUGUUACCUAUCUCUCAAAAAAACAUAGCUAGAAGCAGAAGCUUCGAAUUGCAUCAUCGAAUGUUGGACCUUAAGCUCAUUUCCGCUUCAUGCCUAGGCCAGAGGUUUUAGCACUUUUUGUUCUCUAAAUGCCUGACUUCCUACACCUAAUUUACGAAAGCUGCCGAGUUUCGGAUAAGGAUCAUUUUUUUUUUCGACAUGCUCUUAAAAUCGAUGCAUUCCCGAAGUAGACUAACGAUGCAACUGAAGUUCAUUCAUCCGUGUCCAUGUUCACAAAGCGAUGUUUGAUAGACCGAAUCCCCGUCAUGUGAACUUUUGCUAAAUGAUUCUAGAAAAGCUUUUUCUCCUUUUUUGGGCAGAAUUUGUAUUUUGCUUUGGUCCUCAACAAUUGAAGAACUAUUGGAGCUUACAUACUUUACAAUUUAAAUUAAUUGUGUGUUGGGUAGUUUGGAGAGAAGUCGGAAGAAUUAGAGGAUCAAACCUACCUGGGAUAUGUGCCAACCCCGUGGACUAUAUGGAAGUUACUGUAUUAUAUGUAUCACUUUGCAUACUUGAGAUGGAUUAUUGUUGUAAAGAUAAUUCCACUUGGGUGUUUUAUACAUAGCUAACAACUCCAUCUAGAUUUUCUCUGGAAAGUUCAAUUUACUUUUGAUAUUGUUGUUAAAGCAUGAGCUUUGCAAGCAAAAAUGCAGCUUGAGAAACUUCCAAACACAACUUGUUUGUCGUGUUUUGUUUAUUAAUUGAUAUAAGUGUCAACUGCACUCAUAAGUUAUAAUUCAAAUAUUUACUAUAGUGGAAAAGUUAUAGGUGAUUUUUCAACCUUCAUCAGUAGGUAACAGACAACUAUCAAUAGUUAAUUAUUUUGCUUGGCAGGUUGGAUCAAUCACACUUGUGGCUUUGACUGGGCUGCUGGUUUUUAUGUUGUUCUUCGUAGCUGCAACAGUGAAUGCUAUAAUCAUCUCACUCCUCGUGUCCUUGGCAGCUGCUGGAGGCUGUUUAGCUCUUUUUUUUGCUUUCUCGACAGCAAUAUACAUCGGAGCAUUGUCAGUUGCAGUCUUUGUUAUUUCCACCACGACCAUCUCAACCAUCAUUGCUGUUCUGGUAGCCACUGGUGCGUAAUGCUACUUUCUAGAAUAUUCUUCUUUUAUAUAAAUAAAUUUUCUCCCAGUAUGGGUUCUCUUGAUCUAAUACUAUCGGAGCCCCUUAUUCAGUGGAGUGCCAUUUGAGAGGACUAAAAUUAUACAUCCCAGUAUGGGUUUUCUUUUGAUGCAUGGUAGAAAGUACGGACUAUAGAUUCAUACUCUUAUAAAAACCAUAUAUUAUAUAUAAUUCACUACUGCCGUAAAAUGUUGAAUCCCUUCUAUAAUUCACCAGCUGAAGUUAGAACAGCUGUCCCCAACACGACCAAUACAGAUAUUUCUUGAUUGGCGUUCUUUCAGCUUGCAUAUGCCAUAGUAACACCUGCAAAUAUUUGUACAUCUAAUUUGAAAAAAGUAUUGUAAUGUAUAUAGGAGGAAGUGCAACUUUUGAAGCUUGACAAUUUUAGGACCUCAGUUAUGCAAAUACUUACCAGAUGACUUGUAGAAUGUGAAGUGUUAAUAAGCAAUUUUGCUGCGCAGUAGCUGACAAACAGCUACAUUCCUUGGUGGGCGAGCAUCUAAAAGCUUUUCCUUGGCAGAAUUGAUGUUAGAUAGAUAUCUAACACGGCAAAGACCACAAUGAAACAGUAUAAUUCUUUCCAGUUCAUGAGCUCUAGUCUUUACUAUGAUCACUACACUCCAUGGAAAAAAGUUAAAUCUUUUCUUCAAGUGCUUUUGUUUUCUGAAUCUACAAAGACCAGAAAUUAUGUUCAUUAAUUUGGUGCAGGGUGGAUUGGAUUCUUUUGGGUUAUCUGGGUUGCGGCCCGAAAAAGCUUGGACCUGACCAGGCAAUCAGUCAAGAUGACAGGUUCGGCAAUUUCAGCAUAUUCUGCUGCUCGGCAAGCAAGACGUGAUGUGAACUCGAAGUCCGCCGAUUAAAUUUAAUUCCACUCCCUUGGAGACUUUUGCUUGUAUCUCCGGAGUAUGGAGUUAUCUUUGUAAAUUUUGCUUUGCGUAGACCGACUGUACAAAUUUAUUCUCUGUUUUGGUGAAAACAUUCCUUUUUAAGUUGCAUCCUAUGUUUAAUUAUCCUCUUUGGUUUGUUCUCCAUGCUUGCUAUUCCUUGUUAUGUAUAUGGAUUUGUGGAUCGGGAAAUAUAUUAAUAAUAUAUUUAGGCAGCUGAAAGGGAACACCAAAUUUAAUCAGUAUGAAACUUCACUUUUCCAGAAUUGCUUUGCAGGGGAUGAUCUCAGAAACUUGUUUGCUGCCUUUUCUUCUACUCUGUUUUUUUACAGUAUGAUACUGUAGGUAUCAUUGGGGAUAACAAGGAAGGGCACAUUAUACGUUCGAUACAAAAGGUUAAAUAAGGGCUCUAUUUUCAUAUCUGAGCGAUUCAGAUUGUUAUUUAUGUCAGUUAUGUUUGUGUAUGCAGCAGCAUGCCUGUGUGUUAUUUGGCUACGUCAGAGGAUACAUACGCACACGCACACGUACCUGCUAAACGUCCCGUAUGAACACGUGCAUGCAGUAGACAACUUACCUACGUAUUCAUGUGCUCCCAUGUGCUCCACCGUUUAUCCCCUUCGCCGUAACACAUGGAACAGUGACGUGCCCAAGUCCUCCUCAUAUUAAUAACACUACGUCCCCCAUGUUAAGUAACAUGAGUAGUUACUCUUGCAAUGUGUCCAAAUAAUUUUACCGGGUCAUAUAAGAUGGUGAAUGUGCCCCCAUAAUAUUUCUAUACAAGGCUCUGGUCACUUUCUAACAACAAGACAAAAGAAUACUUGGGGCCCACAUUCGAACCAUCAAGGACCCCUUUAACUGUUCACUGAAUUGAGUGGUCAGAGAGGGCUCAAAACCUACUAAAGAUACUCAAUCUUAAAAACCCUAUCUUUUGAUAUAAAAACUAACAAAAUUUUCUUGAGUUAUAUUCAUGUAUGAGCCCCCUUUCACACUCUUCCAUGCAAACUCUACCCAUACCUAUUUUAUCUAACAUCUAUAGGCUCUCUCUCUUUCUCUCUCUUGAUGGCACAUGGUUUGGUUCUAUCAUACCAUGGAUUCUUUCAUGAGAGGACAACGUAUUGUAUUGUAAACUGUAAUGCAUUCCCUGCCAAAAGGAUAUCUUACAAGAGUUAUGAACCCGAGAAAUUAGCAGCAAAAAAGCUCCCUCCCCUUCAAUUAUUUACUUUUGUGCAUUGCCCUAAAUGGCCCUCUUCUUUUCCUUGAAUUUGCACUGGGACAACAAGAUUCAGGAGAAUUUAGUUAGUCUCUAUGAAAGAGUCUUGAUUUAUUAAUUAAUGCUCCAUUAAUGCACCUCAAACAAGGCAAAAUCUCUUUUUAUUAAAUAUAAAGGAUUGAGAGAGAGAGAGAGAGAGAAAUGAGAACCAAAAGAGAUAAAGAAGAAAAUGUUGUCUAGCAAGAAACUGGUCAUAGAAAGGAAGAAAAGAAAACCGCAUAGAUUUUGGCUUCGAAACAUUUCUUCUUUCCAUUAACUUAUUGAAUAUAUUUAUUACUAAAGCAACGCCUCUUUUCACUCUUGCAAUGCCUUCCAGUGGACAAAGUUAUGUGUAAGUCUAACAAAAAAAAUUGAAACAAUAACACAGAUAAAUUCAUUACAAUCGGCGCGAAGGAAACGAAACUACACUCCUUUAAUUUUAUUUAAUUCUAUUUUUAUGUUGCAUGCAAAGCUUAGUUUCAUCUAUAUAUGCUGCGUUCUAGAAGUUGAAAAGUCCAUAGACCAUGUCAAACAGUAAUGGACUACAAUAUGACUCGGGUCGAGCUGCAUUAUCCUUAAAACUUCAGAUGGGGAAAAAGAAGAGCUUUCCAUGAAAGAUAGGGAUAGUAUUGGAACUUCAUCAAUAAAUGGACAGGUCAAUCAUGCAUUACCCAUGCAUAGAAACAAAAGAAACAGAUUCAUGAGCCACAAAGCAACAAAGCCUACAAAGACACUCCUUUUCCUUUCUCUUUUCCUACAAAGAUACCCCUCACCUAAAUUUACUAAAAAAGAAACCCAUCCAUUGCAUACACUUACAAUAAGUUGUUAUCUCCAGUGAUGCCAACCACCAGGAUACUUUUUUCUAGAUUUUUAAAAAGGCAUCUCAACUCACUAUAUAGCACAGCCCAGUAGUUGGAAACUUAAAGGCAUUUCACACCCCCACAUAACUGAAACUAGUAUCAGUGUCCAUCAAGCGAAAAAUAAAGGAGAUAGUAUAAGGACAAGGAGAUAGCAAUGGAGGACACUCAAGUGGUGGAGUGUAGAUGCUGUGGAAUGUGGGAGGAGUGCACAAUGGACUACAUUAAGCGGGUGAAGGAUCAGUUCGGAGGGGUUUGGGUCUGCGGAUUGUGCGCGGAGGCGAUAAAGGACGAGCAGUUGCGGCUCGGAGUGGAGCGCGAAGCCGCCAUGUUGGUGCAUGCCAAGUUCAGAGAGAUCGCGAGCGUCGAUCCGACGAUUCGCAUCGCGCAGUCCCUGCUCCAGUUGCUGAAGAAAAUGAUCUCUUCAUCCAAUGCCAACUCUUAGCACUUACGUUAAUUUCUUCAGUUUGUAAUGCGUGUCCAUCUUUUCCUUAACAAACUAAUGUUGUUGGACUUUUUCAUGUAGUUUAGCGAACUAAUUUAUGUUAGUAAUGAAGUACAUAACUCUGCUUUUUUGCCACCCCCCCAAAAAUGCUGCCACUUUUAGUGAUUAUGAAACUGUAGAAUGCUCGAGAUCAUUCAGAUAUGAAGUUCUAGUGUGUGUGUGUGUGUGUGUGUGGGUCUUAAAAAAAAUGAAAGAUUAUGGCAACUCCAUUUGAGAUACUGAUGCCUCGCAGUUUCCAGAUCAUUCAAAGUAUCAAUUAUAUACUCUUUCAACUUUUUUUCUGAAGGCAAAAAAAAAAAAAAGAAAAAAAGAUCAACAGCUCAGCUUUUCUACUGUAUCAUUCAGUAAUUUUUUUAUUUUUCCUGAAAUGAACCAGCAGAAAUUGGUGAGGUAUUAUACUUGGCCUCUUUUCAGUUUUUUUUUUUUUUUUUUAAUGAAGCAGCGGAAAUAUUCUUUGGCCUCUUUUUUUUUUUUUCUUUUUUUAGAAUAGGGAGGCUAUCUUGUUAUUUGAAAUUGCUCUUUCAUGUAAAACAAGAAAAAGAAAAAAAAUUUCUUAGUAUAUACUACUUUUGAAGCGAUAAAAUUCACCCUUAAAAUACUUUAUCAAUAAUCUUCUGUGGUCAACUAGUCUUUUGUGUAGUCCUCAAAUUAUAACAUCUAAAAGAGAAAAAGAAAAUAAAAUGGUUGUAAAGUUGUAAGAUAUAGUUGCACCAAUACAAAACCUGGUGGUUGGUUUCUUUAUCAGCCCUCUCUAUAUAUAUUCUGUAGUAAUUUUAGCUACCACAUUAUCAAACACGGCCUCACAAGAUGCUCCAACAACAACAUGCACAAAAAGUUCAAAUGUUGUCUUCCUAAAUCCUAGUAAACACUGGAUGCUUUAUAAAAAAACUUAUCAUUCUUCCUCUGUGGCUAUAUGCCCCUCUUAAUUCCUCUCAAUUCCUCUGCCUGUAGGGUAGUAACAUAUUCUCUAUGCGAAAACGAGGGUCUCAGUUUUUAAAUCUUUACCUAGAUAGAACCUAGGAGAUUUUAGUGCACUAAUACUCUUCCAAAAUUUUAAAGUUAAACCCGAUAAUUUUUUUCUAAAAUAUAAUCUUACGAUGGAGAGAGAAAAAAUACGAUGAAUCAUUAACCACUUUAGUGCGUAUUCUUUAAAUUUUUUACGGUUUUAUAAAAACGGUAAAUAAUUCAUCGCUUUUAAAAAGGUAGACCAUUCGUUGCUUUCUUUCCGCUUUCUUUCCUCUUCUAUUCCUUUCUAUGCCUCUACAAUCCACUUUCUUUCCUCUUCUACUCUUUUCUAUAUUUCUACAAUCCGCUUUCUUUUUUUUUCUACUUCUUUCUAUAUCUCUACAACAGUUGGUGCAUCGACUAUGGUACUAUGGCAAAGAGAGAGAAGAGGAGAGAAACAAAUGAGAGAGAGAGAGAGAAAGAGAAAGGUUGCGCGGCGACUAUUCUUUCUAUGUCUCUGCAAUGGCAGGUGCAUCGAAUGUGGCGAAGAGAGAGAGAGAGAGAGAGAGAGGGAGAAAGAGAACGACAAAAGAAUGAGAGAGAGAAUGAGAGAAAGGUUGCGACAGCGACAACGGCAGUGGCAGCGUGAAGAAACAAAAUCCUGAAAGAACGAGAGAGGAUAAAACAGAAGUUUAGAAUAAGAUAAUAAAAAUAGCGAACGAUUCACCGUAUUUAAAUAAUUUGUUGAUUUUAAAAAUAGUUAUAAAAAUAGUGAAUAAUUUACCAUACGUAUUUAAAUACGGUGUCUCGUUCACUGUCUAUAUUAUUUAUUUUUUAAAAAAUUUAAUUUAAAUAUUAGAGAUUUAUUUUCAUAAUUAUUUUUUAAAAAAAUUAUUUUUAUAAUUAUAAAAAUUUGUAGGAUAAUCUAUAAAAAAAAGAAUUCUAGAACCUACGCUCGUCCACUUGCCGUUUGAUUCUGACUCUGCUACAAAGCAGAAGCACUUCCACUGCGACGCGCCGUCGCCUAGGUCCCUUGAAGUACUUGUCAUAAACGAACACGUGUCCCUGUGUGAACCGUCCGAUAAAAUAUCAGACGAUGUGGAUGAAGCUGCACUUUUUCUAGGGAAAUGCUUUUUGUGCACUUCUCUAAUAGGUCUAAAUUUUAUACCUAGCUAAUUCAAAACUUUGAACAAUUUUUUUUAAAAAAUUUUAAUAUUAAAAAUUAGAGAUUUUAUAAGAAUAAUAUAAAAUUUUAAUUUUAAAAUAAAAAAUAAGAUAAAAUUUAUAUUCACUUUUGAAUGUAUAAAUAGCAUCAUUCAAAAUUCUAUAAGAAGCACUAUGGUCAGGUGAAGUUGGCUCGGGAGCUCCGUGGCUAGUGAUGAAGUUGAAAAUAAAUGAAUAGGCGGAAAUGUUUAAAUUUAUUUGGGACAUAAAUUUCUUUUUAUAAAAGUAAUUUAUAUAAUUUUUGUAAUGUUUUUGACUUUUUAUUUUUUAUUUUUGACUUUUUUUUCUUUUUGUCACCUAUUUUUUUUUUUACUUACUUACCAUAUUGGGCGCAACAUGCAUAUAACAAACAAGCAGGGGGAUUAAAGUAAAAAAAAAAAUCUAUUUUCCGUGUCUUGGUUUCGUAGCCAAACUACCAAAAUCUAACAUCAACUCCUAAAUUCCAACUCUCGGAUUCUCCCAUAAACAAACCCUAAAUUCUCUCACAAAACAUCGGAUUCUUCGAUGAUAAGUAUCCGCCCCACUGUUCCCGCGGCGGCGACGAUCCCCUGUGCACGGUGGCCGUUGCCGGAGAAGAAGAAGAAGAAGUCCCCGGAAAGCGUGAGGUGGCGGGCGACGCCGUCGAUCUACGUGGACCGGGCGGUGCGGCCGCGGCUCGAGGCGCCGCCUCCGAUCCCUUGCUCACACGGCGCCCACCGUGGCGGCGCGGACGCGCUUCUCUCGCUCCGCGCUCUCCGGGGCCUGCUUCUGGUUCUCAGCGGCUUCGCGCUCCAGCUGCUUCUGCCUUUCUCCGCUGAUGCCACAAGCGCGGCGGAGAACGCGCCGCGGAGAGAGAAGAGGAAGGGAAAGGGGAAGGGGAAGGGGAAGGGGAAGGGGGAGGUGAUCGGAGCGCGGAGCGUAAGGGAUUGGGAGGCGAAGGCGAGGCGGGGAAUGGCGAUAAGGCGAUUGGGGAGGGUGGAGGAGGAGGAGGAGGAGAGGAGCAAGAGGGAGUUUGCGGUGUUCGCCACGGAGAGGGGGGAUAAGCUAUUCACCCAGUCGUGGACUCCGCUCAUCGUUCCAACCAAGUAUACUUGUUUAUUCGUUUUUUUACUUAAUCACCAUUUGAAAAUGCUUGAGGAAGAGGUUUCAAUUUGUUAUUUGCAAGCGAAGCAUGUUUAGGAGGUAAAUAAAAAAAAAUAUUAUAGAUUUUUUUGUGAAGAGGAUAAGAUUAUAGACCAUUAAUCACUAUUCGAUUGAUUCAAAGCAAGAUCAAAUCCAUUCUUCCCUUGAUAUCAUUGACGAUCAAUGCCAUUCUAGUUGCAAUCUAUAUUAUUGAAUUAUUGAACCAUUUUUCUCCUUAUAAGAGUAUUAUCAAAUUGUUAAAGAUGCAUUUUCAUUUUAUAUCAACAAUGUUACUCAUUUUCUAAAAUUUCAAUUUGAUGUAUCAAGGCAUGACAUUGAUUUUUUCUAGGUUUGGUGCAGGGGUCUGGUUGUUCUUUUGCAUGGUUUGAAUGAGCACAGGUAUGUUAACAUACCUGGUUAUUUAGGGUGAUUUGGAAAUGCUUUGCCGUGUUUUGCUAACACCAGUUUAUUGUCCGACAGUGGAAGAUACAAUCAUUUUGCAAGGCAAUUGAAUGAUGAAGGUCUUAGAGUCUAUGCUAUGGAUUGGAUUGGUAAUUAAUCUUCAGAAAAAGUUUCUUAUUAAAUUGUGAAAUGUUUAAUGUUCUUGUUCCAUGCUUACUCAUGUUUUCCUGUUCUUCGAGCUCUAUAUUCCUAUAAAGGGAUAUAGAGCUCUCUGCCUACUAACCUUGUCUAAUAGAGAAACUAAGUUGAGAGGCAAAGAGUACAAGUAGGUUUAUGUUUACUUAGUUUAGUUAUCAUUGCUCGCUUCCUGCACCCAAUGCAGUUUGUAUUCAAGUCAGAUCAGGUAGUCACUCAAAUUUGUCGUUGAAUUAUGAAUUUCAAUCAAUCCAUGCCAUUACUUAAGCCUUUCUCGGAGGCAAGUCCGUUCAACUGGUCAUUUGCAUACGCACUUGAAUUAUGCUUCUUCUUAUAUGUUCAAAGUUCAAGUAAUAAGGCAAUUAAUCUGUAGAAACUUCCAUUGUAAACUAUAUGGGAGGUGCUUUUUUUAACCUGAUGAACGAGAAAUGCUCUCCUCAGGGCAUGGCGGAAGUGAUGGAUUGCAUGGUUAUGUUCAAUCGCUUGACUACGCUGUCGAUGACUUGGUAAUUUCUCUUGAGUAACAGAUUGGGAAAGAAAGAUAUACUGUGGUUAGCUGCUGACAAUGUUGUAUAUACAGAAAUCAUUCCUGAAGAAGGUGUUGGAAGACAACCCCAGCUUGCCUUGCUUCUUGUUCGGCCACUCAACAGGCGGAGCUAUUGUUCUGAAGGUAUUGACAUUACUGCAGCGUUGUAGUUGUCUCAGCACUAAAUAUUGAACUUUAUAGUACAAUUUGUGUAUUAACAUUGGGAUAUUCUGCUGGUUAUAUGAACACUUCAAGGCAGUGUUAGAUCCGAAGAUAGAAGUUUGUGUUGAAGGUGUAGUACUAACAUCACCUGCCAUUCGCGUUCGGCCAUCUCAUCCAAUCAUUCCUGUACGUAUAUCAGUCUAGUUUAUAAAAGUUUUAUGUGUGCUUGUCUAUGCUUCAAAUAUAUUGUCCUUACCGCUGUUUCACUACCUGUCACUGUUGUUCAAAGUGCAUUGGUAUAAUAUCUGAACGUUCCUGAUGUAAAUGAUGGAUUGAAUAAUAUUUUAUCUAAUUUUGACUAUAUAGAUUUUAUCAAAGAAGAGGGGACAGUACAGCAAGAAUCAGCUAUAAAUAAAUAAAUGGAUCAGAUAUAGUUGCUAGAGAUCAAAUGGAGAUGCUAAUAAGGAAUUCUCGAUAUAUUUAAAUGUGUGCAUUACAUUGCAUAUCGGCAUUGGCUUUAUUUUCAUACUCUUCUACACUUUGUUUGUUUCUGGUACACCAUGUAUUUCCAAAACAACUUAUUCCUGCCGACCAUUUGGCAAUAUCAUGUGAAUUCCUUAACAGGAUGUACCAUUUCUCAAUGUCAGGUAGUCGCGCCAAUUUUCUCUAUGCUAGUCCCGAAAUACCAAUUCCGUGCCUCUCGUCGACACGGCCCUCCCGUUUCUCGGGACCCUGAGGCCUUGAGGGUCAAGUAUUCUGAUCCACUCGUCUACACUGGCCCUAUAAGAGUCAGAACAGGUAACGAGGUUCUCCGCAUAUCAUCCUACUUGCAGCAGAAUCUGUCCAGAGUCGCCAUCCCUGUCCUAGUCCUCCAUGGUACAGCUGACACAGUAACCGACCCACAAGCCUCCCAAAGACUCUACGAGGAAUCAUCCUCGACCGACAAAACCCUUGAGUUGUACGAUGGGCUUCUGCAUGACCUCCUUUUCGAACCUGAGAAAGAUGAUAUUGCAAAGGAUAUUACCGAUUGGUUUAGAUCCAGAAUUCGACAGAGAAUGAAAGGAGAUUAGUGUUAUUUAACCGAGGACCAUACAGUCAAUGCUGCAGUGAGUAUUUUACUCAAAUGCCACCUGCAGUGCUGGAAAAAUUUGUUGUAUAGUGUAGCAGUUUCUCAUCUGUUACCCGACGCUCUUCCCAAUUGCAGUACAGCCAUAUUGUAUAGGAAAAUUUGAAGCCUCUUCACUUCAAAGCUUGUUUUCGCCUCCUGUUGUAAUUUAAUUUUACUCGUUCUAAAUAAAGUGCAUAAUUAGAUGUUCUUAUACAUAAAUAUGUUUUCUGUACGCAAUUGUUGAAAUUUUAAAAAAUAUUACUUAGUUUUUGCGACAAAGUGCCUUAAUUUUCUGUAUAAGUACUAGCCUAGUCCAGGAGAACAUAACAGCUGAGGAAAACUAUAACAUAGCGGUACCCACUUGUGUGCACAUGAAGUACCUAAAUCUCCAACUUAAAUUAACUAGCGAGUUAAUAUUUACAAAAUUGUUGUAAUGCUUUAUUAAGAAAAUUACUAUUUCCCCAAGUACGCAUAACACAUGUUCCCGAAUAAACAAAUGCAAAUAUAUUACAAAGCAUUUUGUAUACAUCCUUGACAACAUAAAUUCCGGAAACCAUUGGGGGGACACAAGAUCAUCGAUGUUGCUCUUUGUCACUUGAAUAGAGCUGAUAUACAUGCUAUUGCUCAUUAGCUAUGAAUCGGGGUGCAAGCUGCAGAAGCUGCUAUAAAUUGCUCAUAUCUGGACACAGAAGUAAGUGGACAUGAUGCACAGCAAUGUUUUGAAUAAUGUGUUGUUCUUGCAACCUGAUAAACCUUCUGCGAGCGAUUCUUAUUCACUACUUUGUCGUCACAAUAAUGCUUUGAUUUCAUGCUUUGAUUUCAGGUAGCGCCUUAUUUGCAACUUUGCUGUAACAAUAAUGCUUUGAUUUCAGGCUACUUUGAUGUAAAAAUAAUGCUUUGAUUUCAGGAAGCGCCGACGACUGUUCUACUUUUGAUCCUUCGUGAAACUAGGGCUCAAAGACAUUUCUAUUUCCUCAAGAGAACGCCCUUGUGUUUCGACUAUGAAAUACAUGGCAAACACGGCCGUCAACAAAGAGACCCCUCCAAAUGCUGCGUAGACUGACCCAACUCCAAACUUGUCUACCAGUUCUAGAAAAAACAGUCCGACUAAAAAGUUGCAGACCUGCGAUUUCAUGCAAGACUUUAACUAGGCUGAGUUAAGUAUAAAUUAAAACAAGAAUUUUGUGCACAUGUGUACUCAGUAUUCAUAUCAACAAUAGGGUACAUAUGUCAAAACAAAUAAUUGAUAUCAUUUGUCGCCCAAAUGGAUGAAAUGCAGAAUGAAAUUGUUUGGCAUCAAAAAAGAAGUAGCAAGUGAUACAUACCCAGUGUACGGAGAAGCUAAAACCCAUGAUCUUUGAACGUGUAAGGGCACUGCUCAGCUCUGGUAUUAUAAUACCUGUAACUGGCCCAGCGCCUAAGGCAAAUGUGAAAAUAUACCUAUAUGUAAAGGAAAAAUCAUUAACUACACUGCUAGAUUGGUUAAGGAUCGCAAAUCGCAACACUAAACAUAACACCAGAUAAAAAAAAAUGAGAAGCAAUUUAAUUUGCCACAUUAAAGUUCAAAAGGACAAUUUGCAUACUCAAGCUUUCCAACAAAUGAAGUACAACAACAACAAUUGAAUUCCCAGAAAAUACAUGCAUCGUGGAAGUUACAUACAUGAGAGUUCCACUUAUUGAUAGGAUGUGGCUCGAUCCUUCAUCUAGUGGAAAACUAAUGGCACUAACGAUAAGAAACAUUGAAAAUGCCUGCACAAAAUAUGGAGAGUUCAUUUAUAACUCGCAAAGAGAAACAGUAGACUUAUUACCAAGAUAAUAGGCUAUGUCAAUCUUGGAGGUGCUGGCGUCCAUUAUAGCUGCAACACUAUGAGAUGACAUAUAAAAUAAGCUAAAGUAACUAGAAGAGCAAAAUUUAGGCAGCAUGAGGCAACCUUCAAGUGUAUAUAUCCUGUGAUGCCAAUUAGCAUAUAACACACAGAAAGUAAGCACAAAUAUUAUCAAAGGAUAAGCCAGAUCUCAAAAAGAUUGCAGAGCCAAAAUACACAGACAAUCAGCACUGUGAAAACCAACAUUGAUGCAAAACUUCAGGUAAAAAUGUACUUUCAGACCUUUGUGAUUUUUUGUCUUAUCUAUACAACAAUACCAGAAUUUUAUGAGGCAGUUGAUUCUUCAUCUCUUUGGAUCCUAAGAGUCCAGUAGACUUAAUCACACUAUAGACCCCUGAUUGCAAGAUUCUAAACUAUGGGGGACAAAAUUGGUAUUAGAUCAAAACUUCAAAGACUAAAACUGUAAUUUACAUAAUGAAAUAUAUUUGUGAUUUUUUUAAUAAAACCAAGUUAUGGUUCCAUGCUCCUCUAAAAGGACUGCUGAAAUGGUUUAGUUGAACAACUAUAUUGAGAUUACUAUAUUAGCAUGCUGCACACCAUUCCGAGGUAGCUUCCGAUCAAAAGUUUCUUCCUUCCUUGUUUAUCCAUCAGGUAUGAAGCAACUAAUGCUCCUACAAACCAAAGAGUCACCAUGAGUUUCUUUCAAAGAAGCAUAUGCAAAAUUACAAUAUUAUAUUACUAUUACAAACCUCCUAAGUUGGUGAUUCCGACAAAUAAGCUAGCCAAAGCACUACUACUGAUUCCCACAUCUUGAAAGGUUAAGGAAGAGAAGUAAAGAACCCCAUUUAUUCCAGCAAAUUGUUGUAGUAAGAAAAGGGAUCCUCCGAUAAAGGCAACUGGAAACGCAUAAAAAAACAUCAGUUCUCCCGUUUUUUAAGCUACGCGGUAGAGUAAACUUCAUGUUGGAAAAGGUAGCAAGAGAAAGGACCAUCCAAAAGCAAUGAAAAACUCCAUUACGACUGACAUCAGCAUAGCAUGCAUAAAAAGGAAAGAAAGGAACAAUUAAGAAUACAGCAAUCUAUUAUAGAAAAAGAUACAAGAGAAACGACCAUCCAAAUGCAAAUGAAAGACUCCAUUACGACUGGCACCAGCAUAACAUACAAGAAAAGGAAAGAAGAGAAUCCUGUCAAUGCAUGAAAUUCAGGAAGAAAGCAUCACGAGGCCAAUAACUAAGAGAAAUAAGAAAACAAAAGAACAAGCAUGAAGUUAUGAAUGACAUUUGUUUGAUAAUGCAAAGCAAACAACAGCUUACCAGACAUAAAUCAGAGGAACAACAUUUAUGCAAGUUUACGCACAAAAAUCUUGAUAAAACAGCAGAAGUAUACAUCUUAAUUGACACAUGACAAGAUCAAUAAAGAUAUAUUAGGGCCAGAAGUAAUCAGACCAGCAUAAACUAUUGCCAGACCAGCCAUGUUCAUGUCAAAGCAUAGCGAAUGUGAAAAAUAAGUGUAAGGACAGAUUGAUCUACAACCUCUUUUGUGGGGCUCCUCCAGAAGGUCCAACCAGCUACUCUCUGCACCAUCAUUUUCAACAACAGAUUUAAUUUCUUCAAUGGACUUCUCAACUUCUGACAUACCCCACAGUCUUCCAACUACUUUUCUAGCAUCAUCUAAUCUUCCUACCUGCACAAGGUACAUAUUAUAAAGCACACUUUCAAAGACGUUCACUAAAGAAAAGUCCCCUAGUUUGAUAAAUUACCUUACAAAGCCAGCGGGGACUCUCAACGGCAAACUGCAUGCCUAACAUAAUAAUAAGGCCAGGGACACAUGCAGUAUAGAGCAUUGUUCUCCACCUGCAACAAAAGUAAUAGUUGUUAUAGGUAUAUUAAUCACGGAUAACUUGACUCAGAAAUUUAUAAUUAUAGAAUUCAAAACACCCAUUACAUACAUAUAUGGUGUCAAACAGGUUUACAAGAAUGACAGAAAGCACCGGCAGAUCAAAUCACAUAGUCAGUCAACAAGACACGUAAAUAAGUAUUAGGCAAGAAAAAAGCCAUAUAGUAUGGAACAAUACUUUGAUUGACGUGAGAAAAAUGUGUGAAAUAAUAAAGUUUACUAUUUCAAAUGUUCAGGGACGUAAAAUUUACAGAUAGUCACAUGGACUUGAGAAAGCAAGCAUGUAUACAAGUGCGUGUCUAUUGGUACUUGUGCUUCAUUUACAUUACUAAUGUCCGAUACUAUAAGAAUGACAAGGAUGCCUCACCAAUGUGGAUCACUUUCAGAAGGAAUCCCUAAGGCCAGUGACGCAAUUAUUCCUAAACACGUCCCAAUUUGACAAAGAGUACCCAAAGAACCUCUAUACUUUGUUGGGGCAACCUAUCAUAUCAGCAUAAAUAAACAGUUAUAAGCAUAUAAUUGGAAGGAAAAAAAAAAAGUUUACAAGACAUGCACUGCAAGUCAAAACAACAAAGUAGGUAGUAACAAAGUACAGAAAAUACAAGAAAAACGCUUAUAAUAAGUCAGAGUAUACUAAUUUGUCGGAAAUGAAAACCAAUUUCCUAGAGGAAGCUAUUCCAAAGAUACCCUACCAAUGGCCAAGACAAAGUAGAUAUGAGAUUUGACUACAUAAUAAUACCUCAGAAAUAUAUAGUGGAACAAGUACAGUAUUUACACCAAUCCCGAGGCCAGCAAGAAAUCUUCCCCAAAGCAUUUCAUCCAAAGAAUGUGCUUGGGCACUGCAUGAUUUUGUUUUGUAGUUAGGGCCCUUUAAUUUCAUGAAAAAAGGCAUUCAAAUGAAAUUACGCAAAUAAAUGUAUGCGAGUAAUAAAUAGUAACAUAAAUGAUCCCGAAGGAAAAAGAAAAGAAAAGAAAAGAAAAUCAACGCAUUACUCAACAGCAUAAGACGGUUUCCCUAUAAUUGCACAGAAAGUUGUUAGCAAAUAGAAAACAAUAAACAUUAUUAGGAACAAGUAAUAUCCAUAUAAAAAGAGGUAUAGGUGGUACAAACCUUAUUAGUGCCCCAAGGAUCAAUGGAAUUGUAUCUAUUUGAAGCGUGCGUUUGCAACCAAACUUAUCGAUCAACGAAGCUGAGCUUAUGCUUCCAAUAAAUGCACCAACAAUAAAGAUGCUCACCACAAGACCUUCAAGAAAGGAAUUUCCUUCAAAACCAAGCUCUCGUGCAAUAUUUUCAAUAGGGCCAUUCAUUACCCUGCAUACCUACCAAGCAUUAACAUCUGCCAAAGAUUCAACAUAAGAGAUAUAGUCAUGAAAAGGUUUCCAGAGGAAAAAGAGAUAAGAGAGAAUACAACAGGCAUGGCACACAUGCAUCAAGAAAUAUAUAACAAGACAUGAGGGAUGACGAUAUACAUAAAAUAUGACAAAGCAAGAGACGAACAGAUAGGAAGGUCCUGUAUGUUUUCACUUUGUCUGUGAGAGCUUCAUUUUGUCAAAAAGUCCCUUGAGAUUUGCAAAUCAUGAGUUGCCCAUUUCUUGUUGUAAUUCAACAAGAAAUGAGGACUUAUGUCAUAUCUCUUUGUUCUUUAUUGAGAACAUACUUGUCUUCCUUAACUCUCAUUUGACCAAGAAUGAGUCCAUUGCAACAGUUAAGAACCUAGUGAUAGUUCACUCUCUUGUGGCAUGAAAUUAGAGUAAUCGUGGGCAAAAACUGAAGACACACAAUAAACACAAGAUCUGCUACAUCUUUCGUAGGUCUUUGUUCUUUAUUUGGAAGAUACUCCCCCUUUCUCAUUCCGUCGAAGAAUUUGUACACUGCAACAGUCACAGAGCCUACUAAUAUCCUACUCCCUUCUGGCAUGAAAUUAGAGUCAUCGCGCACAAAAACUGAAACACAUGAUAAUGUCAAGCUAAUGCUGUACUACAAAUUCAGAAGGCAAACAUGAUGAAAAGCUGCUUUAAAGUGCCAGUAGAACACAACAGAAAAACACAUAAAUCUCUUGAACAUUCCAAUCAUGCUCAACGAUUCUCUCGCUGUUGCAAUAAACUCUAUGACCUCCCAUCGGACCCAAGUAGUCAAUCAUAUUUAGGGUUCUUCAUGCUUCUUUUGCCGCAAAACCCUACCUAAAGACCAUGACAAGCGAAAAGCAGGUGCAUUUGAGAUCAAGAACUCACCCAAUGUGAUACCCGAAGAGGAAAUUCGCCAUGGAGGCCGUGAGCGCGUGAGGAAAAGCCGGCAACCACCCAAGAUCAACACCUCCGCCUCCGCCUCCGCCUUCGCCGACUCCUCCUUCAACGUAAUCCACCUCUCCAUCCGCCCCUACAGAGAAACCUUAAAAACUUAAAACCAAGAAAAGGUAAAAGAAACCACGGAGAAGGGGAAUCGACCUAGGGUUUUGGGGGGCUCCGAUUUUGAUCCCAAUGGCGAAGGUGAGGGCUUGUUCUCAACAGCGGCGACUCGAAACCCUUUGAGCGAGGGGGAAAGCUUAUGCAGAGCGAGAUUUCUAGGUCUUAUAGAGGUGGUAAUUGGGUUGAGAUGCGGAAGCAAGAGAACGGAGGAGGAGCGCAUUGCGACGACGGAGACGAAGAGGGGGGAGAGAGAGAGAGAGAGAGAGAGAGAGAGAGGGAGGUUUCGGAAUGAGACGUUAUGGGGUAGGUUUAAUUAUUGGUGGAUAAGUGAGGCCCACAAAAAUACAGCAUCGGCCGUGGGCUUUGUAACCCCUGGGCUUUUCUUUGCAACCCAUAAUUUAUUAGGCCAAGGUUUGAAGUAGGCCCAAUAGGCUAGAAUUUGGCGUACAUGUAGAUUGGUCCGAGAGUAGUAGUGCCAUCAAUAUCAUAUCCAACGGUCAUUCCUCUCUCGGGCUCUUCCCGUUGGUCUGCAUUGUGCCUAUUCUUUUCUUUUUCUUUUUCUUUUUUUUAAUGAAUUUAUUUAUCAUCUCCGGAAUGUAGUACGUGGACGAGACAACGGAGUCUAUUUCUUACAAUUUUCAGCGUUAAACAUUACAAUUAUAUGUCUCGUCGUAGAGAAAUGUGUCACAUCUUAAUAGUCUCACAUCAGAUAAAAAUAAAUUAUAAUUAAAUAUAUAAGAAACUGUAAACUCAGCAAUAAUAAUUAGGCUUCAAUAUUUUGGAUCGGUAGUUUAGACAUAACGAAUUUUUGUUGUUAGCGGGUCGAAUUUUUAUAUUUGGUGUCAGCUGAUUACCAUAUCCUGCCACACUUCAAAAAACCAAGUUGGAAAAAAAAAAAAAAAAAAGGUACGCCCUGCUAAUUAGUUAAAGUGGAGUCACUUCAUCAGCCUUUUCAUAGCAUUAAGGCCUUAAUCGGCCUCUCUUUCUUUCCUUUUCUUUUCUUUUUUUUUGUGUGAAAAUAAUUGACACCUUUUGCUUUUAUCCCAACUACAAAGAUGUUGACAAGAGGAGAGCGUGAGCACCUAAUAAGUAGAAUUAUUGUUGAGCUUAAACUCACAAAAAGGAUUAAAAAAACGACAAGGAACUUUUUUUUGGAUUCAUUAAGUAAUGCUUAAUUCUUAAGCAAGUAAUCAUGGUCGCAAAUCACCUAGUUCCAAAUUAUUCUAGUGUGCUUUAUAUCUCUCACUUUUCUCACCCAAAUGUGACUACGUUGCUCAAUAAUGGGUGUUAGGUUGCAUGUCAAAAUUACGGAAAAUUUAAUAAGACAACAUAGUUCCUGUGAAAAUACUUUUUUCUUUGACGACUUUUGAGGAAGGAAAUUUGAUUCGUUUGGUUUAUAAGCGUUAAAAAUGUGAAACAAUCAUUAUUUUUUAAAAACUUUAACCGUGAGAGAACAUUACGCCUUCUCGCAUUUUGGCUUGAGAAUUUUUAAUUACUCCAAAAUACCGUCAACUCAAAUUAUAUAACAAGCAAUUAAAUGAAGUUAGGAGCCGGAGGAAACUCAUAUUCAGAAAUUUCUAAUCUUAUAUAAUAUUAAAGAAUGUAAAACAAUCAUCAUUCUCCUGAACUUCAAAUUAUCAGAUAAUGGUAUCUUAAUAUUUAUAUUCACCAAUAAAAUUCUUGUGAGAAUUUAGUUUGGAGCAUAGUUUUCUCACUUAGGUCUCUUAUUGAAUGCGAUGUCUUUGCCCUGUUCUCUAUACAAAAUGAUAAAUUUGCCACAUUUAUGGAGAGUGAUGUCUCACCAGAUGCAUAUUACAAUUACACGUAUGAAAACAUCCGAAGAUUAACGUGGUCACAUUGUAGCUCGUCUAACUGACCAGGAACUUGACCAGUGCCUACUAUUUCUGUCUAUUUGUGUGUUUGAAAACGAUAUGUUGAAACCCUUCAGCAUAUUCAUUGCGUAAAGAAUACGUAUACAUAGUAAACAAAAAUUUAACUUAUUUCUUCCACCAAGAAGCUCCUACAGGACGAAAUUCAAAGCAUAGACCUCCUGGAAGAACGCUCCACCCUGAAACCGGUUUCCUUGGAGAGACGGGCUACAUUGAAAGCUCAGCUGCAGUCCAUUCUCCACGAGGAAGAAAUCUUAUGGAAAAUCAAGUCUAAACAGUUUUGGCUGAAGGAAGGCGAUAAUAACACUAAAUUCUUCCACGCGGUUGCCAACGGGAGGAAACGUACCAAUGCGAUCGACGUUAUUGAAGACGACUCCGGACGGCCUAUCUACAACGAACACCAGAAACGAGCCCACUGCAUUCAUUCUUUCAAACAACUUUUUGGCCAAGCAGAGGAUCCUUCAAUAUCUCAUGGAGACUGGAGUGGUUUGUAUCACUCUAACAGACUUCUCAACCCGGAUACUCUUACAAGUCCAUUCACCCUAGAUGAAGUCAAGACGGUAACUUUCCAACUUGAUAGCGACAAAGCUCCGGGACCAGACGGCUUUCCCCUUAUUUUCUUCCAAUCCUUCUAGGAAACCGUCAAGGAGGACAUUUUUAAUGUCUUCCUAGAUCUCAAGGAAGGCAAAUUAUUUUCUGGCCCGAUUGACUACUCUUAUGUGUGCCUCAUUCCAAAAAAAGAAGGAGCACGUAAAGUUAAUAACUUCCGCCCUAUAAGUCUCAUUAAUGGCAUUCAGAAAAUUAUCUCCGAGGUCCUGGCCAAUAGACUGUCACGCUCCCUACCAACUAUCAUCUCUUCCUCGUAAUCUGCCUUCAUCCAAGAUAGACAGCUGGCAGACUCCUUUGUCACCACCAGCGAAUUACUCAACUGGUGCACUAAAUCGAAUACGGAAUGUGUGAGUAUUAAGGUAGACUUUGAAAAAGCUUUUGAUAAGGUCAAUUGGGCAUUUCUACAAAACAUCAUGCAUUGGCUUGGCUUCAGUGACAAAUGGUAGGCCUGAAUUGAACAAUGUAUUUGCAACGCCAAAGUAACCAUACUCGUGAAUGACAACCCGACAAAAUGGCUCAAAACGAGGAAGGGCCUUAGACAGAGUGACCCACUAUCUCCUUAUCUCUUCUUACUAGUGGCCGACUGCUUAGCCAGGCUAACUCAAGCAGCUUCAAAUAAUAACAUGUUGCACGGAAUCGGCCCUAGCGAAGAUUGCAAGACGACGCUACUUCAAUACGCAGAUGACACAAUCUUUUUCUGCGAGCUACGAAAACGAUACAUGCGAAACCUCAUAUUCAUUUGGAAAAUCUUCGAAUGGGCUUCUGGUUUAUGAAUCAAUAAGAACAAGAUGGAGUUAUUUUACCUAGGCGCCAACCCAACCAAGCGUGACAGACUAGCUGAUAUCUUGGGAUGCCAUGUAGGCAACCUACCUUUCCAAUACCUGGGGCUACCUCUCCACAACAAACCCCUCCGCAAGAAAGACUGGACAGUCCUCAUCAAUCGCAUAGGCUCGCGGAUUGAAGGAUGGAAAGCUAAACUCCUUUCACAAGGAGGAAGGCUUAUUCUUAUUAACUCUGUACUAAGCAACCUACCGCUUUUCUACCUAUUUAUUUUCAAAGCACCUCGUUGGGUGCUUCUCAGAAUCGAAGCACUUCGCAAAGCAUUCUUCUAGAAAGGCUGCUCCAAAAUAGCUGGGGGAGCAUGCCUUGUCAACUGGAAAACCAUUUGCAAGAGCAAGGCUGAAGGAGGACUGGGAAUAAAAGAACUGGAUUCAAUGAAUUUAGCUUUCUUAUCUAAAUGGUGGUGGCGCUUCUUCAGCGAGCCACACCUGCCCUGGUGUAAGCUUAUUAGAGUUUUAUACUACAUGAGAAGAAGACCCCUGUACGGGGGCAUCGCCUUCGCUCCCUUUUCGUAAUGGUAGAAAGGAGUGGUUCGGUGUCGAGAAGUGUUUACACGUGGCAUCACUUAUGAAAUUGGUGAUGGAAGCAACAUCAGGUUCUGGACGGAUAUCUGGAUGGGGGAAGCACCCCUAAGCACAGAAUUCCCAGAUAUUUUCUCAGCUAUCAGGAACAAGGACGUAUGUGUUUCCAAAUGCUGGAAUCAGCUCAGAUGGAGAUGGCGCUUCAUCUGCAGAGGUUACGUCGCCUCUGCCUCCUCGGGAAGUAGAAGACAGUUGGCGCUUUUUAAGGAUCGGCUACUCCAUUACACCCCAAGCACCAGACUAGAUUCACUAAGGGCCUGUUUGUUUGUGCGGAAGUGGAGUGAAAGUGGGAAGGGGAAAGUAAUUUUCGGUGAAAACAAAUCACUUUCGUUGUUUGGUUCACCGUAAUUUUAUUACACCCGAAAGUCUAGUUCACCCAAAAUAAUGAAAUUGACUUCCCCUCUCAUGGGGCAAAGUCAAUUUCGGUGAGGUGAAAAGAGACAAGAAUGGAAAUUAAUGUAUUAGGGUUACCCUCUUCUCUACCAUUUUCUCUCCCUACUCCUAGACCCAACUCCAAAUAUAUUCAAUUGUGGAGGUAAUUAAAUUUUUUAUUUUGAUUGUAUAUCUAGAAAUAUGAUCAAAUUUGGUUAGGUAAGUUUUAAUAUAUUUUUUGUUUAAUUUGUAUAUUUAGAAAAUGAUGAAAAAUGAAUUUGUUAAAUGUUAAUAAUUUUUUAACCUUAGAAUUUUAUUUGUUGUAUUAUUAUAAUUUAUAUGCAAACAAAUAAUCAAAAUUUUUUAAAUUUUAUUUUAUAAUCAUACAUAUAUAUAAUUAUAUACAUAUAUAAUUAUAUUAAUUUUAUUUAUUAUAAUUUAUUAUUCACUAAGUUACAAAAUAGACAAUGAUAUCACUUCGUAGGUAAGUAUAUCGGGGGUGAAGAGCUACUUUUUUUACGUUAUCUACUUCCAACCAAACAAAUAACAGAACUCGCAGAACUGCACUUCCACAGUUAGAAACAAACAAUGGAAGUGAAUUAAUUUUCAGCCCAAGUUCACUUCAACCUAAAGUCCACUUUCACUCCAAGUCUACUUACGUUGAAACAAACAUGCCCUAAAAUGGAGGUGGACCUCACACCAAAAGUUCACUGUUAAUUCCUUGUACAAAUUCAUCACCUACGCAGGACAAAGCGACCCGCUCAAUCAAAAGGUUUGGAACCUUAAGAUUCCUGUUAAAAUCAGAAUCUUCGUCUGGUUGCUCUUUCGCGAGAGGUUGCUUACGGCCGACAGAUUGAUCAGGCAAGGGACCCAAGUAGAACUUGGCUGCUUUUUCUGUGCAUUCUCCCUGGAAAGUUCUGAUCACCUCUUUUGCACUUGUGUUUUCGCCCAAUUUCUACUCCUUCGACUGGCUGAGGUACCCAACAAUACAUCGGGUGGGGACGUCCGAGGACUUUGGAACCUAAUAUCACAAACCCCCCGACACUUCUACUAGAACUAAAGGUUUAACCAAGCUAGCAGCUGCGUGGUGGGUGCUCUGGACCGAGCGUAACAGCUUUGUUUUCGGUUCGAACCUUCCCAAUGUUGUCAGAGCCGCCGACAAAGCUUCAACCCUGUUUAGCUCUUGGACCUCGCUUGCCUAACUCGUCAACUUGCUACCUCUUUCUAAUCUUUUCUCUUCCUUCUGGUCUUUUCUCCUCCUUCUUUUCUUUCUUUCUGACUUUUCUUUUGUUUUUCUUUCGUUUUUCUUUUUUCGGUUUGGUUUUUGUCAAAGAAGCCCAAGAUGUUUCCACCUUGUAAUCUUAAUUCACUUAUCAUAUUGAAUGAAGCAGGUAGCAUGCUACCUUUCUCUCAAAAAAAAAAAAUUAUAUCAGUAUAUAAGAUCGACAGGUUAUGAGUGACGCAGUUAAAAUUAUGAUCCAAUUACAACUGUGUAAAACCAAUUACGGACAUAUUUCAAAUUACAUAAGGCACUUAAUUAUUGUAUGUCACGGUGGAUAUGGAGAUAGCCCCAUGGUAGGGAUGGUCGUACGUACGCUUGUGGCUCCACUAAUUUAUUUGGAUACUUUGAAGUGGCUACUUAAUUAGAGCUAGGUUGAACCUAUUUUGGCUUAGUUAGGUGGACCACUAUCGUUAUUGACUUCAUUUAAACACUCGGGUCCACACGUUGUCGACGUGCCCCGCUAUUGCAAUAUCACUGGUUUUGGCCUACUUAGCUUGCAAAAUCAAUGGUUUGGCCUACUUAGCUUGCAGAGAGUGGAUAAAAAUGCUAUUUGUUAUCAAAAAAAUUAUGAAAAUGUUCAUGAAGUCUAGCAGGUUUUAGUACAUUUUCACCUUAUAAAAGAAAUACCAACACCGAGAAUUAUGUAGCUCUUAGAAACUGUUUGAUUUCAUAUAAAUAGAAAUAUGUAUAGCUGAAAAUACAUACAGGUAUAAGUGUAUACAUUUUGUUUGUUAGAUGUAAUAGAAAGUCUAUGGCUAUAAAUAAUAUAUUUAGUUACAUACAGUCAAAAAGCAUAUUUUAAAAUUUUAUAAUUUUAUAUAUGUAAUUGUGAGAUUACUUUUUAAUAUCUGUUUAAAAAGUAUCUAGAGCAGUAAAUUUUUAUUUAAAGUUGCUCUCUUCUACUGCUACGAUUGAGUCUCCUCGUUCAUUUCCAAAUAUAAUAAUUGAAUUCAAAUAUAUUAAGUUAAAUAUCGAAUCUGAAUCUAUAUAUAGUUAUAACGUGUAAUUGUAGCUACAUGCAUGCAACCAUAUAGUUUUUAAGUGUAUUUAACCAAAUGAGUUAAUAAUUUUUAUCACAAAUGAUGAAAAUAUUGGCAUUUGUAUGAUCUUCCAACACUUUCUUUUUCCUCUUCUUUUUUUUAUGUUUUUGGAUUUUUGCGCACCAAUUAUGCUUUGGAGUCACGUCAAAAUCAAAUAGGGGGUCGCAAAAAUUUCAAAGCGUACAUACGAGCGAAAGGGAUUUCAAAAAAUGUAGCCUAUAAUUAAGCAUAGGAUUUUCAAAGAUAUAUCCAACAAUAUUCUCCCGCUAUAUAUCUUUCUCUACAGCUGUAAACCAAAAUAGCCCUUAUAUAUGAUUACUCACCCAUACUACUCUAUCAAAUCGAGCAUGCUUCUUGUUUCAUAAACGAUGUUACGAGAAGAAUCGCACAAACAUGUGACACUUGGCUCUUCUUUUUUUUUCCUCAAUCUUUAUAUGGUCCCGUCGCACUCUAAAGUAUGUAAUGGAUCAAUAACUAAUCACAAUGUUAAAUCAUGAUUCGUGAGAAAAAUUUUACAAAGAUAUUGGGUGGUCCUAAAUUACGAUUCCCUUUAUAUUUUUUCUUUUUUCUUUUCUCGUUGCUUUGAAAAUAAUUUUUUUGUUUAUAAGUGGUUUAUGUUUUCUUUUUUCUUUUUUUUUUUUCUCUUUGUUAAUAUUAUUUCUCUGUAUUAUGCUAGAAACCUGUAGAUAUAUAUAAAAUUGGUCUAUGCGAAAGGGUACUAUGACAAAUCCCAUCAUUUAGAGUCGUUUGGUGUAAUGGGUCCCUGAAACUGUACGCCUUUCUCCUUGCUCUACACAAAAAGGAACCUAUUUAGACGUGUUGACAUUAUUCAACAAGGUACAUAUAUUUAGUCAUGCUAAUUAAUUUGACCCCAAGCUUAAAGUUUUGUUAACUCUUAUCAUUAGAAUAAGUAACGAAUUGAUACAUACUAUUGGCCCGAAAAGUAAGUAACAGGGUUUAAGCUCAAAAAUGGAUUGAGUUUCGGUUGAUAUUCGUCGUACCCACAGUAAAUUUUAGGUUACUUCUCCAGGUUGAGUGCAUGGUAACACGGUCCUGCAUAUAUCGUUGCACACUUAGAAAAGCACAAUAUAGUAGAUGAAAGCAAUAUAUCACAACAAAAAAGUUAAUAUUUAAAAAUUUUAUUUUAAUAUUUAAUGAUGCUUAGCUUAAAGGUGUUUCAAUAUAGUUUAGCGUCAUAUUUGAAAACACCAGCAAAUAAAAAAUUAUUAUGUGUAUAUAAACGCUUAUGCCAAAUAUCGGUAAAAUAUAUUCUGACGCUUUAAAACGUCAAAAUUUUUCAAUUUUUUAAAAAAUUCUAACGCUUUAAUUGAAAAAAUAAAAGUAAUAAUCAUAUAAUGACGCUUUUGGAAUGAUAUUUUGUUGGAACGUGUAUUUGAGAUAAGUCUUUGAAUGAGUCAUUUGUGCCCAACCAACUCCAUUCAUGUCAAAAUUGAAUAAGGCACCUCAUGGCCGACUCAUCUAAUAUGUAUGCCAAGCAUGGGUUUAGUAGCGCUUGCUCGUGUUUGGCUCGUUUACGCCCUUAAUGAUAUAUAAAAACAAAAAAAAGAACAGGAAGAAAGAAAUUAAUUGGUUUUGCAUGAUUGAUGACAUUUGAAGCAGGAAAUGCGGUAGGCGACCCUACGGCAUUAAAUGGAACAGGCAGGCCUCCGGACUUCUCUAACCCCACUAGCCGGACAUCCCAACUUCCCCAUGGAGAGAGACUGCACUCUUUGUCUCUUGCUUGGCCUAAAAAUCCCAUGAUUCAGAUAAAUGUUUCUGGUGCAGCUGUGAUUGCCAAGUACAUUCACAUUUCUCUAAUUUUUUUUUUAAAAAAUUGCAUAUUUAUUUGUUGAUAUAUAUAUAUAUAUCACUUACUAUGCAAAAAAUAUUUAAGAAAUUGGCGAAGAAUGAUAUAAUAAUUGACCUCAAGACCUUUUUGAAACAAUAAAAAUUUUGAAUUAACCUUAACACUACAGUACCAGUAAAAUCGUUCAGAUAGAUAACAGCAUAGAAACACUUCUAAUGGUUGUAUUUAUUUAUACAACAAAAAAUUAUCAUACAUGUUUCAGAUCUAAGAAUUUGCACAUCCAUCACUUCAAUUUGAAACCUUUAACUCUACGGUUGUUCAAAUUUCUACUUUCGACUGUUUUUUUUUUUUUUUUUUUUUUUUUUUUUUUUUUUUUUUUUUUUUUUUUUUGUAACUUCAAUUGCUAUGUUGUUCCACCUGCAAAUGUUUACACAUGUUUGCUUCACACACACCAACAAAAGCUACCAAAAGUUUCUCUUCAUAAGUUUAAUUUGUUAGGCUUAGUUUGGUAUUGGGAUAAAAAUAUAUAAAGAUAUAUUUCUAUAUUCUCCGAUGAAAUUAUUGAAAAUAUAUCAUCACGAUAUGUAAAAUGCAAUAUUAAGUAUAAAAAUAAACAAAAUAUUUUUCAAUCGUAUUUUCUCACGGAUUUCAAAGAGAUAAUACUAAAAAAAAAAUGCCCGCCCCAAAACGAAUUUAUUCCCCUUUUAUGUACACGUACAGCAAUCUAAUUUGCACCGCACAUUGGGAACACAUGCUACCCAAUAAAGAAUAAAGAAUACGAAAACUUAAUCCAAUGCACACUAGGUAGCUAGUAGAUUUGAUCUAUUGCAUGUUUCAAUUUUUCCCAAUUUUCCUUUUCCACCGUUUCUAAACAAAAGCUCUAUUAGUGUAUUGAAUAACUUAUCCUAAAUAAUUUAUUAGUAUUUUGUAAUUCUUGAUACGACAGGACAAUAAUAUUUGGUGGUAAUUUAUUUUAUUAUAAAAAAAAAUUAAAGAUUGAAUACCAUAUGCUUUUUUUUUUCAGAGCAAAUAAAAAAUCUGCAUUGAAUGAGAUAUAUCAUACAUACAGUUUCUCAUGAAAACGUCAAACUACUAUUUUUUAUAAAAAAAUUAUAAUUUUUUUUCUUACUAAUUUUGUUUUUAAAAUAAAAAUAUGAAAAACAAAAAUACUAUAUUUUUAUAAAAUCUGAAAGAUUGAUGUAGAAAAAAAAAAAAUUUUCUAGCAGUGGAAUUGUUUGGAGAAGGUAGUUGGAGUUGAACUUCCCCAUGACAAGAGUGGAAUGGAAUUUGGAGAGUUGGUUUUCUCUUCCUCCUACUAAGAAGAAGAAGACAUGGAAGAUUUUCUUCAGCUGCAGAGAGUUUGUUACACCUACCCAAAGAAACGACAUAAAUUGGCACGGCUAGACCAACGACCGUCUCUUUCUUAAUUAUUUUUCUUGAAAAGUCCAUUCAAAUUUUGUAGUAAAACUUCAAAUACCAUUUAUAUGAAUUCAUAUGAUUUCGUACUUUUUUACUUUAAUACUCUAUAAUUUAAACUGUAUCAAUUAGUAUCAUGUGAUUUUAUUUUUUAUUUUUUUAUUAUCUAUUUUAUUAAUUUGUUCGUUAUUUAUUUUUUAAGGCCCUGUUUGGAUCGCGGAAUAAGCGGGGAUAACGAAAGUUAUCCCCGCUAUUCCGCCAAACGGGAUGAAAUUUGGCCGGGAUAUUUUAUCCCGGUCAAAUCUUGCUAUUCCCGGUUAUUCCGGAAUAGCAAGGGAUUUGCUAUUCCACCAUUUUGGUGGAACAGUGCUAUUCAAAUUCUUAAUUUCAAACUUAAUUAAACUUAUAAAUUGAAUUAAACUAAAUUAUAUAAAUAUAAUAUGUUAUAUAUUAUAAUACAUUAUUUUUAUUAUAAAAUUAUUAAUUGUACUAUAUUAAUACAUAUUAUUUAUAUUUAAAUAUUAUAAUAAAAUUUAUAAUAAAUUAUAUUUAAAUAUUAUAAUAAAUUCUUUUUAUUAAAUUUAAAUUUAAGUAGAAUUUUUAAAAAAUUUAUAAAUUUAUUAUAAUAAAUUAUUUUUAUUAAUUGUUCCCACCACUAUUCUUAUUUUAAAAUUUUAAAAAUUAAAAAUUUAAAUUUUUAAAAUUUAUAAUUUAUAAUCUCAAAAUUAAAGUUUAAAAUUUAAAUUAUAAAUUUUAAAUUUUAAAUUUAAAUUUUGAUAUUUUAAAUUUUUGAAAUUUAAAAUUUGAUAUUUUAUAUUUUUUUAAAUUUAAAUAUGAUCUUAAAUUUAAAGUUUGAAAUUUAAAAUUUAAAAUUUUGAAUUUAAAAUUUGAGAUUUUAAAUUUCAAAGUUAAAAUUUUAAAUUUAGAAAUAUAAAUUUAAAAAUUUAAAAAUUUAAAUUCAAAUAUAAUAAGUGGAUAAUAUCAUUAUUUUUUAUUUACAAAAUCUAUUAUCUUUCUUAUUCCAUCUUACCUAACCAAAUGCUAUUUUUUUUAUUCCAGGAAUAACCCAAUUUUCAUCCAAACGCAAAAUUGAUCUAAUCCUCGCUUAUACCUCAAUUUAUACCUAUCCCUGGAAUAGCCACUUUUUCCUUAUUCCCGAACCAAACGAUACCUAAGGGUACUAAAGUAAAUAUUAAAUAAACUUAGAUGAGAUAUUUGAAGUUUUUUAUAUAUAAUUUAACGAAAUAUUUACAGAAGAGCUAACGAAAAGAAAAAAAAUUAAACCACAAGAUACCAACUUGGUACACUUUAAAUCACAGAGUACUAAAGUGAGAAAAUACAAAACUACAGUAGUGAUAUUUGAAGUUUAUCCUAAUCUUUAACACUUCCUCCAUCCCAAUAUAUAUAAGUUAUAAGUUAGUUUUCUCUUCUAAAUCACUGCAAAUUUGUAUGUGUUAAAGCGCGCACACAGAUUUGAAAACAUUUUACUCCGAAUUUGGGUACAAGUGUGUGUGAUAAAAAGGACUUAAAAGUGCCAGGUCCAAGUGAUUACAUUACAAAUAAUUGAAAUAUUAUCUAGUGAAGAAACUGUUCAAAUUAAUGCUCUUAUUAUGCAUUGCGUUGCACGACAGCUCCAUCCUUAAAUCUCCCAUGUUCUUUUGUCGUCCUACUAAUACUGUUUUACCAAAUAUAAAAAAGAAUAUUUUGAAAUUAAGCGAGUCAAUAUCUACUAUAUUACCAAUUACAACUUUUUAUUCUCUGGACAAUCAGAAAGAUCCAAUAACAACCACUCCCCAUAGUUAAUUCUAUUGUAGCAUGUAAACCAUAUUUAUUACAUUAUAAUGACGCAAUAAUAGGAAAUUCAAAAUCCAAUCCAUUAAAAAAAGUUAACUAGAGCAAUAUGAAUAGAACCCCUUUUUUUAAAUUUUUUUUGCUUUUUUUUUUUUAGAAAACUUCAAAUACCUCUCUUGUGCUUUCACUUUUUCUAUAAUUUAAAAUAUAUCAAAUUAGUAGCUUGUGGUUUUACACUUUUUUACUUUAAUAUCCUGUGGUUUAAAGUGUAUCAAGUUAGUACCCUGUAAUUUCGCACUUUUUCACUUUAGUACCCUGUGGUUUAAAAAUUAUAGAAUACUAACUUGAUACAAAAAUAAAACCAUAGGGUACUAAUUUGAUACAAAAAUAAAAUCACAGAGUACUAACUUGAUACACUUUAAACCACAUGAUACUAAAGUGAGAAAGUGCGAAACCACAUGGUACGAACUUCAUACACUUUAAACCAUAGGUACUAAAAUUAAAAAAUACGAAACCAUGAGGUUUUUUUUAAUUUUUUCUUUUUUUUUUU
rnacentral:lncRNA from 1 species